AGUACAAGUCUCCUCCACCACCUCCUCCAGUGUACAAGUCCCCACCACCUCCAGUUUACAAGUACAACUCACCUCCACCUCCUCCCCCAGUUUACCUGUCUCCACCUCCACCCUAUCAUCACUACUACGGUUCUCCUUCUCCUCACCACUACUAAGCAAGUGCAUAAGUUUUGAGGUAAUAAUACCUAUCCAAAACUUUAUCAACACAAACUGCCAUGUAUAUCAUGCUAAGGACGUACACUUGAUCCAUGAAAAUGACUAGUAGAAGAUUUUUUUUAAGAACCAAAGAAAUACAUUAUUUUUUCGGUCUGUUUUCAAGAAUUUGAGCAGUAUACAGAUUAAAGAGUGUUUUUUUUUUUGUAAACUUGCUUGUCAACUUAAAAAUGCACAUAGCUGAAAGCCAACUGAAUAUUUGCAGGCAAAGGAGAAGGCAAUCGGUGUUUGAGACCUUCAAGAAGAUGUAGAAGAAUAAGAAUAAAAGCCCAAUGCGAGGAUGAUUCCAAGUUUCUACGUUACCAUUUCUACAUCUAAAUUGACUUUAGCUCCUGAGUUCCAUGUUUAUGGGGUUUGUACCGUUUUACGUACCAUGCAGUACAUGCUUGCAAGGUUUUCUGUCCUGUUGGCAAACUGCAGGUCCAUAUAAUAAAUGAAUACUAUUUACAUUACGACACUUUUCUCUUUUUCUCUUAUAUUUUGUCUUUAAUAUUGUUGAUCAUUUUUUUUUUAUCAAAAGCAUCAAAUGCUUAGGUAAUUUGGUCUAAUGCUAAUUGUUUUACUUUUAUUUUUCACCUACACCCCUUUUCAACUCAAAGGAUGCUAUAGUUUGUGAUAAUUGUUUAAGACCGAAGCAUGAUACUAAUAAAUAUCUCAUUGAAAGUCAAGGAAACUAACAUUAGGAAAAGUUUAAAUCUUGAUUUGAUGAAACUAUUUAUUCGUGGAAUUUAGAGAUACAAAACUCAAAUUGUGACGGUGUUGUUGCUAAAUUAUUAAGGACAUUAUCACCAUUAUUUUUCCCUGAUCACUAGUUUCAACUGCAAUGAUCUCAAUCUUUUUGUGACUAAUUCUUUCCUUAAUAAUUUAUAAAGACAAAACUCACAAAGAAUAUGUGACUAAUUCUUUCCUUUCGUCUUCUAAAGAAAAUGCCAACUGUUAGUUUAUCAAGGGGAAAAAGGAUCGACAUCAGUUAUUAUUGAAACUAGUAAGGAAUAAAUAAUGGUGAUAAUGUCCUUAAUAAUUUAACAACAGCACCAUCAGAAUUUGACUUUGAGCUUCGGUCUUAAACAAUGAUCACAAACUACAGCAUCCUUUGAGUUGAAAAAGGAAGUAGGUGAAAAGAAAAGUAAAAAAUACAAUUAGCAUUCCCUCAAAUUGUAGAAAGUUAGGUAGCAUUAUAGACAAGUUGAUAGCGGCAAUUUUACAUUUCAAACUUCACCUAUUCAAUAACUAAUUCGAUGGCUUGCUACAUGGUCAAUCUUUGGACCCCUUCCUGCCUCCAGAUAUCCCUUUCCUCAAUCAGGGGCUUCUACAAUUACCAGUUUCAAUUGUAUGGUAUAGUGUAAAUAUCAACAAAUUAGAUGUAGAUGCUAACAUAAUAAAUGUGAAUGCUAAGACAGCAACAUACAAUCGAACCUGCAAUUGUAUGAACCCCAAUCUCGCUUCCUAGUCCACCAUCUUUCUCUAGGUAAUAAUCUCCCUUCUAAUUUAUUCACAAAAUGCACCUUUCAUCACCUCCAAUAGCGUCGACAUGAUCUUUACCCUAGAAGACUAUUCACCGACUCUCAAUUGACGUCAGAAAAUCUAAGAGUAAUUCUACUUUACCCUAAGAUUGAUAUCAACAAGACAAGGACAAUUUAGAAUUAUUACACGCCUCUUCUUAAUAGGAAAAAGAAAUAGAGAAGAAAGUCAGGCCAGGUCUAAUUUCUUUUCAAAGGCAAUACAACAUUACGAAAUCAAGCAUUCAUUCAUACAAAUAUUUCAUAGUCACCGGUUUGCUGAGUAGAAAAAUUUAGACAAAAACUUAAUAUUAUAUUGUUUAAGAGUUAACAAUUUAGAGCUUAAUCUCCUUGUACUUUGGAGUUAACAAUUUAGAGCUUAAUCUCCUUGUACUUUGGACUAAACUUGAACGUGAAAGGAAAUCCCAAAACCAUAUUGGGCAUGAAUUCACACUUAAUAUACCCAAUAAAAGAUGGCGACUGGUGAAAGGCAGUGGAGACUGGUGGAGAGAUUUGAGGAAUAGAAGCAGACGGAAAAGCAACAAAUUUUUGCCGAAAAACGGUCACUUUCAUGGUUAAUUUUGCUACUCUCCAAUUGUACUUGACCAAUUACAACAAUUUCAUGGAGUUUGAUACGUGAAAAGAAUUUUUUAUAAAUUUUAUUUUGAUCCAUAAUGUUAUCUUUACAUAUAUAAAACAUUUUACAAUUUUGAUUUUGGCGCAGCUAACUUUUGGUUAACAAAAAUGCUCAUGUUUAAAAAACCAGAAAUAAAACAAAACAAGAAACAAAAGAAAUAAGAGGGUAGCAUAGACAUUUUGGAUUUUUCCGUUAAUUUGGAUGAUUUCCACCCACGUUCUAAUUUAAUCCAAAACACAAAGGAAUUACGUAGAGGUUUUAAAUAAUCAGGGAGCUUCAUGAUCGAACCCCAAACCACGUGAUAGCAUACAAGAGUUCUAUUUCACUAUCGGUAGACAAAGACUUUCUAUGGUUGAUGUACCGUAGGAAAAAAUCUGCCUAUACAACGUGAUAGCAUUUUUUCAAAAACACAAGAUGGAAAAUUGCCCCCUUAAACGUGGAAAUUCAUGAUCUUUCCUCGAACAAAGAAUACUCACGCCUAUUCAAGAUGGAAAAUUGCCCCCUUAAACGUCUAUUUGUCAAUUCUUGAAAAAAGAAUACUCACGCCUAAAACACGGCCUCUUCAUCUGCAGAAUUCUAAAAAGUUACGUAAACUCUAUAAACAAGUUGAUAGGUACAAUCGUACCCAAGAUCAAGUACAGAUAGUUGUACAUUCACUGCUGCAAUAACUAAUCUGAUGACUUACAAACAUAUCAUGGUCAAUCGUUGAAUGGUAAUGAGUCUUUUGUUAUGCAUUAGUAUUAGUGUGUACACUCUAAUAGAUUGAUACUUAUACUCUUUAAAUUAUCAUAAUAAUACCCUUAAUUAACUUUAACUCUUAAAAAGAAUACGUGUUAAUACACGAGAGUGUGUAACCUGAAUUGUUACUUAUACAUUAGUGUGUAAUAGAUAGGGAUGGCAGUGAGGGCGAGUGCCCGCGGGGGGCUCUCGGGGCGGGGGCGGGGGAGAAUUUUUUCCCCCCGUUUAGAAACGGGGCAGGGGACGGGGGAGUAUACCCCCGCCCCAUCCCCCGCCCCGCCACCCGCAAAAAAAAUUAUAUAUAUAUAAUUAUAUAUAAUAUGUAAUUUAAUUAGUUAUAAACUUAUGAUAAUGAUAUUAUUAGUUAGAUGUAUUAUAUAAUGUAUAUUAGUGUAUGUAAUAUAAUUAAUAUUAUCAAUUAUACGAAUAAUUAGACAUGUCCACUAAUAGAGUUUAUUAAUUAGUUAUACUAAAUUUACUAAUACAUUUGUACUAAAUUUCUAAUUACACUUAAUAGAAUAACACUUUUUUCUAAAAAAAAAAGCACAAACACAAUAAUGAAUUAGUGAUUGUAUUUGUACCAAAAGUGAAAACUUAACUAUUUUAGUUGUAUUUAUUUCAUCAUGUUGGAUUGUAUUCAAAUAAUUUUUGUUUGAUUGUUUUUAUGAGUUUCAAUUGUAAAAUUAAAAUGAAUAAUAACUUGAUGAUGUGUUGAUAUUUUAGUACUUGAUUAUUUAUUGAUUUAACUAUAAUAAAAUUUUAUUUUAUUAAAAUUUAACUAUAAUAAAAUUUUAUUAACCAAACGAGUUAUUAAUCCCGCGGGGGCACCCACGGGGGAAGCGGGGCGGGGCGGGGGAGUGGGAGGCGGGGGACGGGGCGGGGGUGGGGGGAGUUGUAGGUAGCGGGGCGGGGGAUGGGGGAGGGGUCCCCCGCCCCAACCCCGCCAUCCCCCGCCCCGUUGCCAUCCCUAGUAAUAGACUGGCAAGCAUUGUGGUGGUCAUUGAGAACUUACUGGAGAAAUAGUCCUAUAAGCUGUUCAAUGAGCAAUCACAACUUGCUAAUUGGAUGACUAAUAUAGCUCUAGCUGUAAUGUUUUAAUUAAAUUACAUCACUAACGUUGGGAUGACUUUUUAACCAAAAAAAAAUGCCUUAGUUCAAGCUUUUCCCUUUAUUGUGCAUUUUUUAAAGCAUUUGAUAGGCACUGCAAAUCUGUCAUUUUGGACAUUUUAUUAUUGACUAACAAUGAAAGCCGUGACGUCUACCCAUAACCAACACAAGAUUAAAUUAAUAUUAGAAAAAAUAAUUGAGUAAUUGGAAAAAAAAAAAGAGACUCAUUUUCAUUGAAACCCACCGACAAACUAAACGUGUCCAUGGCUUUUGAAUAGUGCAUUCAACGUUUAAUUGUAUAGUCCAGUUCAUUGCAGAUUACAUGGAGUAAAGAUUGUGCUCUUUCCUUUUUCACCCCUUUUGGAAUCGAUACUGUGGAGAAUUGGGUUUUUCCCUUCUUUUUUUCUUUUCUUUCCUUCUGUGCUUUGCAAAACAUAGGUAAAAAUAUGAAAUCCGAAGCAUUCUUUAAUUGGGAUUAAGUAUUGUUGUUGAAAUUAAAAAGAAAAAAGAAAGAACAACAAAAUUCCCAAUCUGGGUUGAUUGUUGAGCUCUAGAUUGGUUGCAUCGUGCUUCCAUAGAAGCUCUCUUAGUGUGAUACACUGCUUUCAAUCAGUUUAACACGGGAAAAAAAAAAAAAGAGAUGAAAAGCAAAUUUGGUGGGGAUAAUUUCAGAAACCUCCCCUGAAGAUUUUGACUAUUCUACUGGUCUCCCUUCAGAUUUUAAAAAUUACACUAAUCUUCCUUGAAGUUAAUUAUCUUGUAACAUUUAAAUUCAAUCAAUAAUUUAAAAAAUGAUAUUAUGAGAGAGAAAAUAAUGAUUUUAUCAUUGCCCCCCAUCUUACUACAUUAUUUAAUUAAUUUAAUAGCAACCCACACAUUAAAGAAAAAUAUUAAAAUUUGUUGUUUAUCAUUAAAGAUCAAAUCGCUUAUAACAUCAAAUAAUAGUAUAUUAUUUAUAUUUUUCACUCAAUAUAAUAUCCAAAUUACUCUUUUCAAUUACAUACCCAUUGUUAGACAAUCAACAACAAAUAACCAAAAAAUUUGCAACCAAAAUAUUACAAAAAAAUAAACUUUAACAUAUAAAUAUUCUUAUCAACAUAUUAAAGUUAGUUACUGAAAUUUUUAUGCUGUUAAACUUCACUCUUUUUGGUUACAGAUUUUUUUGAUUAUUUGUUAUUAAUUAUGUUUGAUGAUGGAUUUAUAAUUGAAAAGAACAAUUUGAAACUUACAUUAAGUAAAAUAUAUAGAGUGAUAUACUAUUUUUUAUAACAUAUGUGAUUCAAUCCUUCUUGAUAGGAUUGGUAAUAGAGGUAGAGGGGGGAGCCGGCUGCAUCCGGUCUACUUUUCAUAGAUAGUACAAUAUUGCGAAAUCGAUCGCAUUCACGCAAUAUUAUUUCCAAGUCAUUGCAUGGCUAAGCUGCAAAAAAAGUACGAACACAUGUUAUUAUAUAGCUUACGAUUCAAAACUUUAGAGCAUAACCCUCCACCUAACACAAUUGAAUAAUGAACAUUCACGUUUGUCAAAUCUGUCAAAGCACAGUUUGAGGACAACCCAUUCCAACCUGCAAAAGAUUUUUUACUUUUCUAAAGUUGUUGAGAGCUGUAAAAAGACUUACCAUGCUUGCAUCCUCCGAGCCUUGGGAGUUAAAAAUGAAGGCACUGAGUGCUAUAAAAAGGGGAAUAGAGGCUGCCUAGAAGCAUAUCAGCCUAAAACAAGAAUUUGUAGUUAAGAUGGGAAGCAAAGCAAAAGCAAUGGGGUCUGGGCUGACUCCUCUUCUUGCCACUGUUUUAGUGGUGUUUGUUGCUCUUGGCUUGCCCUCACAAACUGCAGCUGAUGAUCACUACAAGUAUUCAUCUCCUCCUCCUCCUUACCACUAUCCCUCACCACCACCACCAGUGCAUAUACCUCCACCUCAUCCUGUUUACAAGUACAAAUCUCCACCACACCCCCAGUACAAGUAUAAGUCACCACCACCACCUCCUCAUCCGGUAUACAGUCUCCUCCGCCACCACACACCCAGUUUACAAGUACAAGUCACCACCACCACCUCCUCAUCCGGUACCACACCCAGUUUACAAGUAUAAGUCUCCUCCGCCACCAGUUUACAAAUACAAGUCUCCUCCACCACCACCUCCAGUGUACAAAUACAAGUCUCCACCACCACCAGUUUACCACUACAAGUCUCCACCACAGUUUACAAAUACAAGUCUCCACCACCACCCCCAGUUUACAAAUACAAGUCUCCACCACCACCAGUUUACCACUACAAGUCACCACCACCUCCUCCCCCAGUUUACAAAUACAAGUCUCCACCACCUCCUCACCACUACUAAGCAAUUGCUUCUGAGGUAAUAACACUUGUUCAAUAUACCCACUUCUGCAUGAUAAAGCAUAUCUCUAUCAACACAAACUGUCAUGUCUAUCAUGCUAAGUGCCUUCACUUCAUCCACCAAAAUGACUGCUAGAAAAUUUUUUUUAUGUUACCAAAGAAAGGCAUCAUUUUUUCCCUCUGUUAUCAAGAACUUGUACAGUAUAUAGAUUAAAGAGUAUUUUUUUAACUAGCUUAUCAACUGAGAAAUGCAUAUAGCUGAUAGCCAGCUGAAUAUUUGCAGGCAAAGGAGAAGGAAACCAGUGUUUGAGACCUUCUUGAAGAUGUAGAAGCAUAAGAAUUAAAGCCCAAUGUGAAGAUGAUGAUUUCAAGUUUUUCUACGUUACCAUUUCUUUAUCUAAAUUGGUUGUAGCGCCUUAGUUCCUUUGUUUAUGGGAUUUGUAUCGUUUUACGUACCAUGCAGUACAUGUCAUGUUUGUAAGGUUUUCUAUCCUGCCGGCAAACCGCAGGUUCCAUGUAAUAAAUCAAUACUAUUUAUAUUACGACACUUUUCUCUGUUUCUCUUAUAUUUUGUCGUCUUUAAUAUUCUUAAUCAUAUUUUUAACAAAAAUAUUCAAACACUUAGGCAAUCUGGUCUAAUGCUAAUUGUAUGUUUUACUUUUCUUUUUCACCUGCUCCCCUUUUCAACUCAAAAGGAUGCAAUAGUUUGUGAUCACUGUUUAAGACGGAAGCAUGAUACUAAUGAAUAUCUCAUUGAAACUCAAGGAAACUAACAUUGCGAAAAGUGUAAAUCUUGAUUUGAUGCAACUAUUUAUUCGUGGAAUCUAUAGUUACAAAACUCAAAUUCUGACUGCGCCAUUGAUAAAUUAUUAAUGACGCUAUCAUCAUUAUUUAUCCCUAACUAGUUUCGACUACAACUGAACCCAAUAUUUUCCCCAUGAUAAAAGUUUUUGACUAUUUUACUGGCCUCUCUUCAAAUUUUAAAAAUUACACUAAUCUUCAUUGAGAUUAAUUAUCUUGUAACAUUUAAGUCCAAUUAAUAAUUAAAAAAUGAUAUUAUGAGAGAGAAAAUAAUAUAAUUUUAUCAUUGCCCCCCAUCUUGCUAUAUUAUUUAAUUAAUUUAAUAGCAACCCACACAUUAAAGAAAAAUACUAAAAUUUGCUGCUUUUCAUUAAAGAUCAAAUUGCAUAUGCCAUAAAACAUAGUAUAUCAUUCUAUAUGUUUCACUUAAUGUAAGAUCCCAAUUGUUCUUUUCAAUUACAAACCCAUUGUCAAUAACAAAUAACCAAAAAAUUUGCAACCAAAAUAUUACAAAAAAAAACUUCAACAUCAUAAAUAUUCUUACCACCUCUAGUGCAUUCACCCUCAUAAAAUAAUUCAAGACCCUACUGUCAUAAAAUGACUGAUCAACUCCCGUAAACCUAAUUUGACAACAUUUAAAUGGAGAACUUUAGCUAAAAGAAUUAUGGUCAAGCUAAAGAAAAAACCAGUUAUUUUCCAACAUAUGCAAUCAUUGAUCAGGGAAAAAAAAAAGAGCAAAAAGACAUCUUCAAUCAUUUAAUAGCUUACAGGGCAAAUUAACCCCUAAGCGAAAACUGGUUGCUCUAGAAUCAAAAUUUUACUUUAGUUACCCAGGCAACUUUUUUGUUGCUUUUUUUUUUUUUUUCCUUUAGUUUUGCCCCCUCUGUCAAGCUUAUAAAAUUAUUAAGAUAAUAAAAGUGCCUUGAAUAGUAUUAAUAUAUCCAUUGACUUGAGCUGUCGUCAGUUUGCGAUUCCAUGAGGCCUUUUCAAAGUACUCAGAAAAUGGGGAGUCAUGAAAUCCAUUUGUUCUAUUCAUUGCUAAGAUGCUUUUCUCUAUAAAGAGACUUCCUAACGAAAAUACUUUGUAGAUUUCUUUACUCCAAGUGGUGCAUGGAAAAUUAAUAUUUUCAAUUAUCAAAUAAAAUUCCCUUUUUUCGGCGUAGAUUUCAUCCAUCCAGCUGUUAACACAUUCUAUAAAUCCGAAUUGACUAAUCUUUUCGUUUCCAUUUUCCAACUUGCGAAUACGGCAUAUAGUGUCUGCUAAACACUAUAUAUUCUCUGCCAAAUAUGAAUACAUAUCACUUUUCUGAGCAAGUGCAGAGUCAUUAUCAUUUUUAUUCCCACCUAACAAAUUAGGGAUAAAAAAGUUAAUAAUCUUUACAUGCUAUCAGGUCACAAGUUAAUAAUCUUUUAAAGAACAUGUUAAAUUAAUUUAUUGGUAUGAAUAGUAGUCAAAGAAGUAUGUUAAAGUUAGUAAUCUUUAAAAUAAUAUGUUAAAAUCAUUCGUACAAAUUAGUCAGAGAAGUAGCAUAAACACCGCGAUGCAAUUAAUACUUUCAAUCUCAAGGUCUCUAUUAUGGAAAUUUGCAUCGGUCAAUAUACACUUGGCAUAAUAUAAUCUCCCAACUCAUUUCUUUACAAAUGCACCUUUAAUCACCACCAAAAGGUGUGGACAUGAUCUUUACCCUAGAAAACUAUUCACCGACAGGCAAAUUGACGUCAGAAAUACUGAGGAAUUCUAGUUUCCUUCGGGUUCAUGCCAUGUUGUAUCCUUCAACUGUAACUCGAUUUCUAAGCUGUAAUUUGUGACAUAAUAGUCCUUAAACUAUGAAACCCUUCUUACUUAAUUACAAUGGUUAAUACAAUGCCCGUGACUAGACAAGUAUGAAGCAACCAUAACAGAAAAAAAAUCCAAAAUUAGAGAAAAGAAAGAAGUUUCGCGACCACCACCAGUUUACAAGUCACCUCCACCACCUCCUCCAGUUUACAAGUCACCUCCACCACCUUACCAUUAUUCCUCACCACCACCUCCAGUGCAUUCACCCCCACCACCACCAGUUUACAAGUCUCCGCCACCACCUUACCAUUAUUCCUCACCACCACCUCCUGUGCAUGCACCUCCACCACCAAUUUACAAGUCACCUCCUCCAGUUUACAAGUCUCCACCACCACCUUACGAUUAUUCCUCACCACCACCUCCAGUGCAUUCACCCCCACCACCACCAAUUUAUAAGUCUCCCCCACCGCCUCCCCCAGUAUAUAAGUCACCACCACCACCUCCUCCAGUAUACAAAUCACCUCCACCACCUCCUCCAGUUGACAAAUCUCCACCACCACCAAUUUAUAAAUACAAGUCUCCUCCACUACCUCCUCCAGUGUACAAGUCAUCACCACCACCUGCUUACAAGUCUCCACCUCCUCCAGUUUACAGUUCCCCACCACCACCAAUCUACAAGUCUCCACCUCCACCCUACCAUUACUACUACAAUUCUCCUCCUCCUCCUCGUCACUACUAAGCAAUUGUAUCCAAGUUUUUGAGGUAAUAACGCUUAACCAAUAAAUUAACUUUCGCAUGAUAAACCUUAUCUCUAUCAAGACAAACUGCCAUGUGUAUCAUGCCAAAUACGUACACCUAGAUCCAUGAAAAUGAAUGGUGAGGAGGGCCAUUUAGGCUCGGAGCGCCCUAGGCCUAGUUCCCCACCAUUUCCUGAAGUGCCGCCUCGGGUAUUAUCCUGGAAGGCGAUCGCGGCCCAUUUACCACCUCGGCUACAAUGUCAGGUCGUAACACCGAGGUGGACAUUGAAUGACAACUACGAAAAGGGGAGAUGUGAUCUCUGACACCUGAGCAAAGGCUGCUCUGACCCGCCGCCUGAAUCUGACAGAAUGUCCCAUCACGUCUCUUCAUGGAGACCGGUCAAGUCCACCUGAUCCACUGACUAUCUCAGAUCUUUUGGGACCCGUGCAAACAUCUCCUCUCUCCUAUCAGUCCCCUAUAAAUACACGAUACUUCUACUGAAAAAGGAGAUGACCAAUUUCUGGUAAAACACACUCCACUCAUUAUUUACUUCUCUAUAUCCGAACUGACUUAAGCUUCGGAGUUAUACCGGGGGAUCCAGCCCCUUUCUUAUCCAAGCAGGUGACUUCGUCCAAGAGAGUUGCCCAAGGUAAAGAUAUUCUUCCAAUUGAGGUGACUCACUCCUGCGGGUCGAAAAUCACCUCUUCAAUUGGCGCCGUCUGUGGGAACCGCAAAGAUAUUAGAAGAUGAAGCCUGCGCGUUCUAGAAGCAGAAAAGCUCUCACUAUCGAGGCUGGGCAAAGCAAUGCAGCUCAACAAGAAAAUAUUUCUGAAGGGCAGGAGUCCCCAAGGACUCAGCCCGCAAACGAAAAAGCCAUAACCCGUAUGGCCGAGUUUGUGACCGAGAACCCCAACAUCUUUGAAGAGUUGGGAAGAUACCUGAAGAGGCAAGGCAAACAAAAGGCCGAGUCCUCUAAAAGGAUGUCAGAUGGGUCUCUUGAGGACUCAUCUGAGGAGGAGUCGGAUGGAAGGCACUUAAGCCGAAGUGCCUCAAAGCGAGCAUUUUCUAAGGCCACUUCUAAGGUAGCCUCCCUGACCAAGGCGUUUUCCCGAGGGCUCUUGGGCCGACGACCCGAGGAAGAACCUCGGCCCUUGGGAAUACCCGGGGUGGACUGCAUGAGGGCUCCACCGUUCACGGAUGAUAUAAACGAGGAAAGGCUUCCUCCCAAUUUUAAGCUCCCCGCAGUACAAUCUUACGAUGGCCGAGGUGAUCCCGAGAAUCACAUCCAUACCUUCAUCUCGGCCUUCCAAAUAUACUGCAUCCCAGACCCUGUCAUAUGUCGGGCCUUUCCAGUAUUCCUCAGAGGAACUGCUCGAAAAUGGUUCUGAGCUCUAGAACCUAGGAGCAUUUCGACCCUGGGUGAAUUAGUGGAGAAGUUUCUCCACCGAUUUGUCUCCUCCCGACCUACGACUAGGACCUCGGCUUACCUGCUCACCGUGCAGCAGAACCCGGGAGAGUCACUCCGGUCGUACGUCCGGAGGUUCCAUGAGGAAAGCGUUCAGAUACCUGACCCCAAUGAGCAGGUAACCCUCGCUGCCUUUACCCAUGGACUCGUUGCCGGGGAGUUCAAUACGGGGAUCCAUAAAAAAUACCCCCGCACACUGCAUGAAUUGUGGUUGAAGGUUGAAAAGGGCAUACAGGCCGAAGACCUCCAUCGCAUGAAGAAAGAGGUCCAAGCCACCCGUCCAAGGGCUGAGCCCAGAAAGGGAAAAGACGCUGGCCGAACUGAAGUAGGGUCGGGAAGUGGCUUCCGAAGUCCUGGCCGAGACCGCCGCAGCGUGUUCGACAGGAUAUCCAAGGGGAAGUCACCUAUUCCCGAGUCCGAGUUGACUCCUUUAAAUACUACCCGAUCUCACGUGUUGUCCGUGAUGGAACAAAACAACCUCGGCAAGGGCCCGCCGAGGAUGUUUGGAAGCAGAGACAAGAGGAACUCGAACCUCUACUGCUUGUAUCAUCGUGACAUUGGUCACGAAACUGAGGAUUGCAACGAUCUCAAGAAGGAGAUCGAGAACCUCAUUAGACGGGGACACUUGAAACAGUUCAUCCGCAGAGGUGGAGGUCACCAACGUGACGAAAACCGGCAUGACAAAUGAGGUGACCAACGCCGAGAUGAGCGGCGGAGCUCCAGAAGCAGUUGCCGACCUCCUGAGGAUCCCAGGGAGACGAAAAGGCCUCCCCCAGACGGAUCUUCGGGACAUGGGCCAACCAUUGCCCGGGUCAUUAACACCAUUGCCGGAGGUCCGACGGGAGGGGACAGUCAGAACUCCCGGAAGAGAACCUAUAAGCAGGCUAACCCGGAUCAGGCCGAGUCGAGUUCUCGCCUGUCCGAGGUGAUCACCUACGGGCUCAGUGAUCCCAUCCCAGCUGCAUCCAGCAGUCAUGAAACCUUGGUGAUUGAAGUCCUCACCAAUAACUACAUUGUGAAAAGGUCUACAUAGACCCGGGAAGUUCAGUUGACGUCAUGUACCUCCGUACCUUUGAGAGCCUUAAAAUGGCUAAGGGGUGCAUGACCCCGCUGAGAACCCCUCUUGUAGGGUUCGGGGGACACGUGGUGCACCCCGAAGGGAUGGUGACUCUGACAGUGACCAUAGGGCAUCACUCUCGCUGUAGAACCGUCCCUGUCAAUUUUGUGGUGGUUAAGGCUGACUCCCCAUACAACCUACUUUUAGGUCGGCCUACGCUCAAUGCCUUGCGGGCGGUCUACUCCACCUACCACCUGAGCUUCAAGUUUCCUACCCCAGCAGGGGUGGCCGAGGUCAGCAGCGACGUCUGUGCUGUCCGGGAGUGCUACCUCGCCACCCUACAAGCAGCCUCCCCGUCUACCUCCGGUGCGAGGUCCGAGAAGAGGUCAAAUAUCCUCUCAAUAGAUAGCAUCGAUCCUCAGUGAGCUGAGAAGGUCCCGAGGCUGGAGACUGGGGAUGAGGUGGAAGAGAUUCCCCUGGACCCCACGAAACCUGAUCAGACAGUUCGCGUUGGUACCCGAUUGCCCGGUCCUAUCCGAAGAGGUAUGAUGGACCUCCUCAGGGAAUACCGGGACGUCUUUGCUUGGGCCGCCGAAGAGGUCCAAGGAGUCCCGCACCAUCUCAUGAUGCAUGACUGAACGUCGACCCCCAAGUCCGUCCGGUCAAACAGAAGAGAAGGCACAUCGGCCCUGAGCGCAGCCAAGCUGUUGGUGAGGAAGUGGACAAGCUUUUACCCGCUAAAAUAAUCCGAAAAGUCCAAUACCCGAUCUGGUUGUCUAACUCGGUCAUGGUCAAGAAGGAUACGGGGGCUUGGAGAAUGUGCGUCGAUUUUACCGACCUCAACAAAGCCUGCUCCAAGGAUUGCUACCCCUUGCCCAAAGUCGAUACUUUGGUAGACUCAGCAAUGGGCUACGAGAUCCUCUGUUUCUGGGAUGCAUUCAAAGGCUAUCACCAAAUUGGGAUGAGUCAAGAAAACCAGGAGAAAACGGCCUUCUACACCGACCGCGGCACGUACUGUUAUACUACCAUGCCAUUCGGGUUGAAGAAUGCCGGAGCCACUUAUCAACGCUUGGUCAACCAAGCAUUCAAGUCUCAAAUCGGCCGGAAUGUUGAGGCCUAUGUAGAUGACAUCCUCCUCAAAAGCCAGACGAACUCCACCUUCCUGGCCGACUUGAAGGAGGUCCUUGACAUCCUGCGGAAGGUGAAAAUGAUGCUGAACCCCAAGAAAUGUGUUUUUGGGGUCACCUCGGGGAAAUUUCUAGGUUACCUCGUCUCAAGGCGAGGUAUCGAAGCAAAUCCGGAUAAGGUGCGAGCCAUCCAGGAGAUGUCUCCACCCCGGUGCGUCCGCGAUGUCCAAAGGCUGACAGGGCGAUUAGCCGCCCUGAAUCGGUUCUUAUCGCAGUCGGCAGCUAAAGCACUGCCCUUUUUCAAAGUGUUGAAGAAAGCUGACCAUUUCUCCUGGACGGAAGAGUGUCAACAGGCGUUUGAGCAGUUGAAGGAUUACCUUCACUACCUUCCAACGCUCACCUCACCUCGUCCGGGGGACAAAUUAAUCUUAUACCUUUCUGCUGCGGCCGAAGCGGUGAGUGCCGUGCUGAUAAGGAAGGAAGGGGUCCAAAUGCCCGUCUACUACGUUAGCCGAGUCCUCCGAGGUCCAGAGACCAGGUACACACAAGCAGAGAAACUUGUGCUAGCCCUGAUCCACGCCGCCCGCAGACUCAAGCCCUACUUCCUAGCUCACCACGUCUGCUUGAGGACUGAUCAACCACUUCGGCAGAUUUUGACACGACCAGAGGUUUCGGGACGUCUUACCAAAUGGGCCAUUGAGCUGGGGGAGUACGACCUAACUUAUGAGCCUCGCACAGCGAUCAAGGCCCAGGCUCUCGCAGACUUCGUAGCCGAGCUCACCUUUGACGAGGUGCAAGGAUCCGUCCCGGCUGCCACAUCGGCCACAGUUGAUGUGGCCACCACUGGGCUCCAGCGGUGGAUCCUACACGUGGACGGUUCGUCAACAGUGAGGGUAGUGGAGCAGGCUUGCUCCUCGAAGACCCCCAAGGAGAAAUAUGCUAAUAUGCCUUAAGAUUUGACUUCGCUGCUUCAAACAAUGAAGCUGAAUACGAAGCCGUCAUUGCUGGACUGCAGCUAGCUCGCAAGCUCGGGGCCGCACACAUCUUGGUUUAUAGUGAUUCCCAACUCGUCGUGUGCCAGAUAUUAGGUGAGUACGAAGCCAGGGACGAGGUGAUGCAUCGUUACCUCUCCAAGGUCCUCCAGUUGGCGACUCACUUCGAGUCUUUUGAAAUUCAAAGAAUACCGCUAUCGAAAAACAGAAGGGCUGACGCCCUCUCCCGGCUUGCCUCAACCUCUUUCUCUGACCUGAACAAGACGGUUCUCGUUGAAGUUCUAGCCGAACCAGGAUAUGUAGCCGAGGUAGUAUACCCCGUCUACCCUGGGGACACCUGGAUGGGUCCCCUGACUCGAUUUUUCAGCCAGGGUGAGCUCCCCGAAGACCGAGCUGAGUCACGGAAGCUCCAACGAAAAGCAGCACGGUACAUUCUCCGACAAGGCCUUUUAUACAAAAGGUCUUACCUCGGCCCUUAGUUGCGAUGUAUCACGCCCGAGGAAGGCCAGAGAAUCCUCCAAGACAUACAUGAGGGGCUCUGUGGUGCUCACGUCGGCUACAGAAUGCUGGUAAAAAAGGCUUUGUUACUUGGGUAUUUUUGGCCCACUAUGAGGAUAGAUGCCCAGGUCAUGGUCCUUUGCUGCCCCUCCUGCCAGCAUCACGCUCCUGAGCACCACCAGCCGACCAAUUUAAUGAUCCCUAUCACCUCGUCAUGGCCAUUUGAGCAAUGGGGAACGGACAUAAUUGGCCCCUUUCCCAGAGCUCCAGGCAAUUAUACCUACGUGGUGGUAGCAGUGGACUACUUCACCAAAUGGGUCGAAGCUGAACCCCUAAAAAAUAUCACUGGUGCGGCAGUCCAGAAAUUCUUCUGGAAGAAUGUGGUUUGCCGCUUCGGCCUACCCCGGGUGAUCAUCUCGGAUAAUGGCCGACAGUUCGCCGAUAAUCCUUUCAAGGCCUGGUGUGAGAACCUCGGGGUCAAACAGCAUUUCACUUCGGUGGGACACCCCCAAGCCAACGGACAAGCCGAAAACUUCAAUCGCACGCUCCUCCAUGGCCUCAAGACCAGGCUCCACCAGGCUGGAUCGUUUUGGAUGGAAGAGCUCCCCAGUGUGCUGUGGUCCUACCGAACUACGCCGAGAUCAGCAACCCAGGAAACCCCGUUUUCCUUAACCUACGGGUCAGAAGCUGUUGUUCCAGCCGAAUUCAUCACCCCGAGUCCACGAAUGGCCGCAUAUGCUGCCGAAGUCAAUGAAGAAGAACGGCGAGUUGACCUCGACCUCGUCGAAGAGAAGCGUGAUAUGGCCGCGGCCAAAGUUGCUGUUUACAAAAAUAUCGUAGCUGGCUACUACAACGCUCGGGUUAAACAUUUGCGGUUCAGUCCGGGAGACCUGGUGCUCAGGAAGAACUCAGUCAGCCGGGCUGAACCUCAGGGUAAACUAACCCCCAAGUGGGAGGGACCAUACCGUGUUGUUGAGUCCAGCCAAAAUGGAUAUUGUAAAUUGGCAUACCGAGAUGGGUCUCUGAGUGCCCCGAACUUGGCAUGCUGAAAAUCUUAAGUUGUACUACCCUUGAGGGUAUGUGCUUUUAAUCUUGAGUUAUUUCACACUUAUUUUCAUUUCAUUAUAAGUGAAAAAUAAGGGGACAAAGUAGCAGUAAAGAGGAAAACCGAAUUUAAUUAAAAAGAAAGCAAGAAUAUGAACUCAAUUCCAUUGAAUUACAUAAAAGUAGAAAGCCGAGGUCACCUUUAAUUAGGAAGAAAGCAAGAAUAUAAACUCAAUUCCAUUGAAUUACAUAAAAGUAGAAAGCCGAGGUCACCUUUGACCUCGGCCUACAAUGACAAAAAAAAAAACAAGUGCCUCUAGGCACUCCCUACCCUGACAUCCUGGCCCCCCGUGGUCGCGCCACCCGUUUCGGCACCCUGUCCACCCUCAGCUCCUCCACCGGCCUGGUCGUCUUCAGUACCAUCUAGUUCAAACUCCUGGAGCCAUUUGUUGAAUUCGGCUCGGACUUCGGUUAGGUCUUUCUCAGUCCGGAUGCCCUCAGCCAUGCUGUCGCAUAGCUCCUUGGCAUCCUCGUUAUAGUGCGAAGUGCUCUGAAGGGACUCCAGUUGUUCAGAGGGAAGAAAGGAUGCCGCGUCAUUAAUAGCCGACGUGUACCCGAACAUGAAGCUUGGCCGGGUGAGCUCGCCGAGGUCACGGAUGAAGGACUCUGACGUCCGGAAGGCUUCCACAGCAGUGACCCCGGCCUUGUCCAUGGCCUCCCUGUUUGACUGUUCUUCUUGGGCCCUCCUUUUUUUCUCCUCAUCAAGAGCAGUCACCAGGGAAUUGUUCGCGACCUCGGCCCUUUUGUUAGCCGCCUUGGCCUUGUCACGCUCCAACUCGGUUGCCUUCAGUUUUUCUUCCAACUCGGCAAUUCUCUUCUGGAGCUCGGCAGGAGGCUCAUAGUUUUCCAUGAACUUUCCAUACCGUUGAAUCAUCUCGACAAAAAAAGCCGUGGUAGAGGCCCAUGACACCGAGGCGCUCUGCAUCAACUCCCCUGCGGAGAGCUUCCUAGCAUAAGUGCUAUCUCGUGGCAGCACUGAAUGCACCAAGAGCUCCUGAGCGACCAAAGGGUUCUUGCAGCGAUCGUUGAAAUUAAUCUCCCACUCUGGACACCAGUGUGAUCCGGGGUGUCUCUUGUCCUCCUCAGCUGCCUUGAAAGGCACAUGAUGGAGUUUGAACAAAGAUGACCCCGUGACGGGGUUCUCCGGAAAUAUGGUCACACCCUGACCCCGGGGGGGAGUGGCAAUCGUGACCCAGCGAGAAGGGAUUCCCACCGGAAUUGCCGAGGCUCGGGAACCUCCCGGAGUGGCCGAGGUGUGCGAGCCCUCGCCCACGAUCACCACGGCAGGCUCGCGGUCGCCCGACGCCGCGGUGGUUUUCUUAGCCGGCCUGGAAGAGGACCCUGCAGUGUCCUUGCGCUUUUUGGGAGCUCUUUUGACCACCUCGACAUCUCCCGAGGUUAUCAGGUCGAAAAUCUUCGUCACUGCAAAGUAGGAGACGAAGUCAGUUAGAAUUCAAGAGGGAUAAACUAAAAGGGAAGAAAUGGAAAAAUACAAAGUCUGUGAAGCCUAGUCGAGAGUAAGACAGGCUGGUCAGAGCUCGUCAAGGCUCAACUGAUCCCGCCUUCCACGAGCACCACUUCGGGAAAAUCCCAGCAGUUUAUCCUGAGGCCCGACCCCGUUAACUUCUGGAAGUUACGCUCUUCUAACUUCCCUGGAGAUAUCUCCUUGAUCGAGGUGGGAGGCCUCCACCAGAAUCCGCGAGGGAAGUCAUCGGCCGAGACGAAGAAGAAGUUUUGCUUCCACUCCUUUAUUGAGUUCGGAGCAUCAACCACCAACUUCGGAACUUUGUUUCCGAAGUAGAACCAUCCUUUUUCACUUCUGCUGUUCUUGAGUGAGUAACAGCGGCGAAAGAGGUUGACCUAAGGUUGUAUCUCCUGAUGUCGGCAAAGUAGCUGGAAGCCAACGAGAAUGCGAAUAGCGUUAGGGGUGAGUUGAGUGAUUCUCACCCCCCAGUACCUCAGGCAGUCCCGAAGAAACCUCGUCGUGGGCACUCUGAGUCCGGCCUCCAGCUGUUCCUGAUAGAUAGUCACCUUGCCCUUUGGUGGCAGUGCGGCUGACUGAUGCGGUUGGGGUAUGUAAAUACUAUAAUCCCUUCUCCAGGGAUACCUGCGGACCACCUCGGCUAUUGAGGCUUGUCCCAUACCACUACUGAAGAACGGCAUCUGGCCGUAGUCGAGAGUUGCCACGUUUGGAGGAGUGGAAGGUUCUUGUACUCCCUCGUCUCUAGGGAUCUCAAUCCCGAGGUCAUCGUUGUAUAGGACCUCGGGCUGGACCUCGAUCUCCUCGGGCUGCACCUCAACCGCCUCAGCUCGGCGUGAUGCCUCGGCACCUCCACCCUCAGCUUGGUGAGAUGCCUCAGCACCUCCGCCCUCGGACGCGGUCCUUUCCUGGGAGGGGUCAGGCCUCUCUGCCUCAGUGAGGUCAGGUCUCACUGUCUCUUUGUGCGUACGAGCUGUUCUAGCCAUUGUAUCAGAAGGGGAAGAAGUGAACUUACUUAGAAUCUGCGACUGGAAGAAGAUGCCGAAGUAGACGUGGUUUAGAAAGGUUGCCGAAGUGAAAAGAGAAAGAAACAGAGUUCUGGGGUGAUUCUUGAUUUUUGGUGAAGAGUAAAACGGUGAAAAAAGACCACUAUUUAUAGGCCACCAGGGUGAAACCCAAGAGACGGCACCCUCUCUCUUCAUUAAUGGGAGGACUGUUCGUCUGCCAACACAGCUGACAGCCGUCCCUUCAGUUAUCACUCAGUCCCAUCUAUGCGGUCAUGACGUGUCCGUGUUCCGUGUUUUAUACGCUUCUCAGCUUCGGGAAGUAACGACCACGGCGGAUGCCCAUCUCGCCCUUCUCAAAGCUUGGGGGGCUUAGUGAGGAGGGCCAUUUAGGCUCGGAGCGCCCGAGGCCUAGUUCCCCAUCAUUUCCUGAAGUGCCGCCUCGGGUAUUAUCCUGGAAGGCGAUCGCGGCCCAUUUACCACCUCGGCUACAAUGUCAAGUCGUAACACCGAGGUGGACAUUGAAUGACAACUACGAAAAGGGGAGAUGUGAUCUCUGACACCUGAGCAAAGGCUGCUCUGACCCGCCGCCUGAAUCUGACAGAAUGUCCCAUCACGUCUCUUCAUGGAGACCGGUCAAGUCCACCUGAUCCACUGACUAUCUCAGAUCUUUUGGGACCCGUGCAAACAUCUCCUCUCUCCUAUCGGUCCCCUAUAAAUACACAAUAUUUCUACUGAAAAAGGGGAUGACCAAUUUCUGGUAAAACACACUCCACUCAUUACUUACUUCUCUAUAUCCGAACUGACUUAAGUUUCGGAGUUAUACCGGGGGAUCCAGCCCCUUUUCUUAUUCAAGCAGGUGACUUCGUCCAAGAGAGUUGCCCAAGGUAAAGAUAUUCUUCGAAUUGAGGUGACUCACUCCUGCGGGUCGAAAAUCACCUCUUCAAAUGGUAGAAAGUUUUCUUAAGAACCAAGAACAGCAUUAGUAUUCCCUCUGCUUCCAAAAACUUGUGUAUUAAAUAGAUUAAUGAAUUGUUUAACAUGCUCAUCUACUUGAAAAUGCACAAUACCCAUAACCCACUGAAAUUUUUGCAGGAAAAGGGAAAGAGAAUCUGUGUUUGAGAGCUUCAUGAAGAUGUUGAAGAAUAAGAAUAAAAGCCCAAUGCGAGGAUGUUUUCAAGUUUUUCUAUGUCCACUUUAAUUUGUAAAUUGAAUUUUACAACUCAAUUAAUUCCUUGUUUGUGAGGUACGUAUUGUUUUACGUACCAUGCCGUACAUGUUUGUAAGGAUUUCUAUCCUAUUGGCAAAAGUCGGUUCCAUACAAUUAAUCAAUUCAUUUCACUUCUAUUGGCUCUACUAUUUAUGCAUGUUACGACACUCUUUCCCUUAUAUUUUGCCUUUAAUAUUAUGAGUCAAUAGUAAUAAUGGGCCUUUUUCUUAAAAUUAUACUAUUAUACAUAGGUAGUUUGGUCUAACGCUAAAUUCAUGUUUGUCUUUCUUUUAUUCCCUUUACAUCUCAAAGUAUACUAUAGUUUGUAAUCAUUGUGGUGAUGAUAUUACCAGCUGGUACUUAUAGUUUAAGGCAGAGACAUGAUAUUAACAACUAUCUCAUUGAAACAUAAGUCAAAAUCAUGACAAGUGUGAGUCUUGGUUAAUGCACAAUUUGUUAGUGGAAUUUAUAUUUAUAAAACUCAAAAAAAAUUUUUGACAAUGCUAUUACUAAUUAAUUAAGGACUUCAUUGCUAUAAUUUAUCGCUUACUAGUUUAAACUAUAAAUGAUCUCAAUACUUUUCUCCAUGAUGUCGAUUUCUUUAGACUACGAAAGGGAAAAAUUAGUGACAUAUCCCUUACUGAUUACAACAUCAGCAAAAAUUAGUUAUAAACUUUUCCGGUGGUUUUAAAUCCCUCGGGCACUAAGGUUUUUUGCACAUCGAGUGAAUUAAGGAACAUAGGCAAUUCGUUCUGCAUACCAAGUCCUUGUUUAAGAUGCACGUACUAAAAUGCAUCCACUUCAUUAAUUUGGAAAAUUGCCAUAGUUUUUUUUAAGCAUUUUGAUUUUUUACAUGAUUCAAAAUUUUCUUAUUGGAUACAAUCACUUUGUGUCAAGAACACAUUUUCAAUCAUCUUUUUUAUCUUCUCAAUAAGAAAAUAAAAAUUUAUUCAUGCUUUUCUAACAUAUCCAAUCAUUGAUCUGAAAAAUAAAGAAUUAAAAAAAAAAGACAUUUUCAAUCAUUGCUUACAGGGCAACUUCCCCAUGUGAACCUCUUCAAACAAAGCCAAUAAUAUGAAGGAACAUCUAAAUACACUUUUGCCCUAAAGGCUGGUUGCCUUGGGGUCAAAAUUUAACCUUCGGGAGUAUAAUUACCCGCCAAAUUUAUUAUUUUUUAUGGGUAUAUAGUUCCAAUUUUGCCUCCUGUUAAGCUUAUAAAUAUAUUACGACCCAGAAAAUAAAGGAAUCUUGAAUAGUAACAUGUCCAUUGACUUGAGUUGUCAUCAAUUUGGCUACUUCGAUUCCAUGAGGCCAAUCCAAUUCACACUAGCUAGAGAAAAUGGUGAUAAAGGCACUUAGAAAUUUAUAUGUAAUAUUGAUUGGUAGUAACUGAUAAGUAUAUAUUUUACGUGUUUUAAAUAUGUUUUAUUAGUUAGUUUUGGUGUGUUUUAACUACUUUUAUAACUAAUUAACUAGGAAUCUAGUGAAAAUAUGCAUUUUGUGGUUUGAAGUGUGAAAAUUGUAUUUCUAUGGAUUUUAAUGGUGAAAACUUCAUGUUUUUGUAGGUUUAAUGAUUCAAUCAUCAAAUGACAUGAUUUGAGAAGAUAAUUAGAUGAUUGAUGAUGUUUUGAAGUGAUAAAAAGAGAAUACAAAGUGCAAGAGAGGAAAUGCAAUCAAGAAUAAAAGAAGAAAAUUUUUGUAGCUUUGACAUAUUGUGGUAUUUUGGCAAUAUAUUGAGCUACAAUGAUUGGAUUAAGGUGAUUCUUAAACCAUUUGAAGCUAAGAUAUAGAUCUACAUUUGGUAUGAAGGCAUCGAAACCCAUGUCAGUCAUUUUCCUUGUCAAAAUGUUGAAAUACAGAAGUGCAACUCUGUUCUCGAAAGCUAAAACAGAGCUCUGGCUAGUCGAGGGUAUUUUCAUCAUUUCUUAGUCCACAGAGCUCCAAAUGAGAUGAUUCUUAAGGCAUUAGAACCCUAACUCAAAGAGCUACAACUUUCAUAUUUUGUACAAGAGUUAGUUCGGCCUCCAUCAUUCAGAAAAUAGUAGUUGAAGUGGUGCCAAAUGCAUAGAAGUGAAAACGCGAGCUAUCAAUACUCGACCUGAAGUCGCGUAUUCCUGAGGUCAUGCAUUCUCUUCUAUUUUCUGCAACUUGCCCUGCUUUCACAUAAUUUUUUCAUCUCAAUUCCAACUAUCAAUUUCGGCUAUAUCUGAUCAAGAAAAGUGUGGAAAGUUUGAAAGACAACUCAUAGGAGUUUCAAGAGUCAAAAAUUACAAUUAGAAACAACUCAUUUGGCUCUUGAAUCCUCUAUAAAUAGAGGCCUUUGAAGAACAUUUUCACAACUUUGGAAGGUUAGAGAAACUCCACAAAAACAUAGUCUUCACUAGAAUUUCCUUAGUUCAUUAGUUAGGGUAGUAUAGUAUAGUUAGUGUAGCUUUUCCUUCUUGUAUUUAUAGUUAGGUUUGAAUGAAGAUUCAGGAGCAAAGAUAGAGAGGUUGAUCUCAUGUGACAAGGGUGAUAUCUCUUCUACUACUUUCUCUUUUGUAUUUGAUUUCAUAUUUAACUAUACUACAAAUUUGGCUUUGUUUUUUUUUUUUAUCAUGUUUAGUUAAAGUUUAUGCCUAGAGUAUGGAUGACCUUUCUAUAUCUUGUUUGUGAUAUUUAACUGGUUAUUUGAUGAUGUUAUUUUUGAGCAAGUUAUUUAUCACUUUUGCUUUUCUAAUCGUGAUUAACUGGCCAUUAGUUGUGAUUAUCUAAAAGUGUUAAGUUUGUAAUGAGAAUUGGAGUUUAACACUAGUUCAAGGAAGUGAUAAAUUUAGGGAGUUCACUCAUGAGAGUAGAGGAACACCUUUGUGACCUAAGUGACUUGUUUCAUAUAAUUUCAUAGAAAAAAUGAACUUGUAAUUAAUUUCAUAACCACGAGAGUAAGUAUGGUUUAGCUAUAUGUAUAGUUGAUUCACUACGAGAGUAGGUUUCACAUACAUUAGAAAAUUACAUCAUAACUAGUCAAGAUAAUAUCAUUCAUUUAAUCAGUAAUCUCAUUUGCAUGAGUAGUAAGGCAUUCCAUAUCUCUAGGAGGUUUUUAGUAUUAUUUUCAUUACUUUUAUGUUUAUGGUAGUCUAGAUAAUAAUGGAGUUCAAAAACUACUAGUAAUUGAAAAUUUUCCCUGUGGGAUCGACCUUUAAUACCCUAUACUCGCUCUCGACUCGUAUACUUGCGAAAAAUCACGUGUGCGGUAUUUAGAAUUUAUAAAUGUAAAACUUGACUGUAGAUGAACUAAUUGAUAUAUGUAUACCCCGCACUCGUCAGUAACCAGCUUGUAUUGAUCCCAUUAUUGUGGAUAAUUGUGCUCUUAUGAAAAAAAAUUAUAAAAAAAUUAGCAAAAUUUAUGAUAACAAAUUAAAUUUAUUCAUACAAAUCAGUGAAAGAAGUAGAAUUUUAAAGACCAUGAUGAAAUUAAUACUUUCAAGGGCUCUAUUAGGAAGACUUCACUUGUUGGUGAAACUACACUAGCACAGUUAUAUGCACAUUUACUGUUUUGGUAUCUAAUUUCCUUGCCUUAAGUUGGGUGCAGAUGUUUAUAUUACAAAUAGAUGGUAUCAUAAAAUUGUUGUAUUCACGUUUGUUCUUUUUUUUUCUUCCUUAAGUUUUUUUCUUUAUUCUCGUGACUUCAAAAAUACGAACUCAAGAAAUUGGCUGCUUAAUCAAUAUGUCAUACAGGCUUCGCUAGUGAGGUAUAACUUCACAACUAGAGUCAAUAGAAAUUAUCAAAUGAUUUUUUAACAUCCAAAUUAAGCAAUAAAUUUUGUUUUCAUUUUAUGACAUAUAAUAGUACUACUUCAUGAGAGAUUUUAUAGUUUCUUUUAGGUAUCAUACCUACAAGUGAUAUUUGUCAUUGGAUAGUGACAGAAGUGUUAAUGAUUGUAAGAUUAAAUAUUGUUAAAUAUUGAAAUUUAAACUAUUUAUCUUUAUUGAAAGAUACAAGUUAAAGAAUCGUUCAAGGGGGCAAUUUUCCAUCUUGUCUUUUUGAAAAAACGCUAUCACAUUGUAUAGGCAUGAUAGGUUCAAAUUUGUCAUUAAAUUUAUGAUUGAUUUCCCUUUUAUUCAAGCCAAAUAUUGUUUUAAUUAUCAAAUUCUACUUAUAUUUGGUUAAUUGUACUAAUUGUAGGGCGGUAGAGCAAAAGUUGCUAAAAAUAGGUGAUUUUCUGCAAAUUGGUUGUCAAGGCUGAAGGAUUUGGGAUUCGCAUGUUCAAGGCCUGUUUCCAAGUUUGAUUCAAACUCUGGACAGUUUUAGAGGAAGAUUUGGAAGAUUUGAAAUUUCAUUAUUAGUUUUAUGGUUGAAUUAGGAAUCUUGGAAUAAUUUCUUUUGUGAUUUAUUUUUCUAUUUAGGAGACUAGUUGUUAUUUAGUAGUAGACUUCAAUUAGAAAACAAAGAGAAAAAGAAGGCCGGAAUCCCGCUUGAUUAAUACCUUGGCCAGGGAACAAUCUCGGUGGGGAGGACGGCCACUUAGCCUCUCAAUUCAUCUUGCUUUUCGUUAGUUUGAGAGGAAAACCAAUUGCAACUAGAUUCAAUGGAGUCUGGCAGAAUUUCUUCUAGGAUGCGUAGCUAAAUCCUCAAUUUUUAGUCGAAGGUCAAUUUGAAAAUUCGGUUCCAAAUAUCUGUGAAAUCGAAUUAUUUUACUUAUUUCUUUUAUUUAUUGGUAUUCGCACGUUUUCUGAUUUAACUUUUUAUGAUUGUUUUGUUAUUUGAAUGUCAAGGGUCCGAUAUUCGAAUUAACUUAAUAAUCUACUGCCAAAUUAACCGGUUAAAUCCGUAAUUGUUUGAUUGAUUAAUAUCAGUGGCGACUAGCGUGAUUGGUCCCAUGUUAGGAAAACGUCUGAUCUAAUUUAAACAAACCGUCGUAGCGUGUUUGUUGAUUAGGGUUGGACUUUUCUAAUUCUUAAUUCAAUUGAGAAAUUAAAUCUCCCGGUCGUACCUAAGAUUAUUUUUUUGUUAGCGAAAUAGUUAAUGGUCGUACCUUGACUAUCGAAAAAGUAAGGAAGAGUUGAUUGUUUAUCGCGUGUACGACAACUAUAAUCAAUCUAUUAAUGAGUAAUUGAAUUAUCUUUGCAUCAGUAAUCAGUUGAAUGGACCGUGUCUGAAAAGUUGUACCUUUGGCUAGAGUCUUAUCUGUUGUUGAUUCAUUCAUAUCUAUCUUCAUGCGUUGUUUUAAUUUAGUUAAUUAGUUAUUUUUAUAAAAACCCCUCAUCUCUGGACUCUAAAAGAAAUAAAUUAUUUCUAGUUCCUGUGGAUUCGAUCCUACUCACCGCUAUAUACAAAAUUUGUAUUUUUUUGAAUAAAUAAUUAUUAUUACACAGGCUUGACACCUGUCAAGGCAAAAUUUCCUUAACUUCAUCAUCUGUAGACGUAAACUUUCUACGGGUGAUAUAAUAUAAGGAAAUUUUGCCUAUACGAUGUGAUAGCAUUUUUUCAAAAAAGACAAGAUGGAAAAUUGCUCCCUUGAACGGAAAAAAUCAUGAUCUUUCCUCAAACUAGUCUACUAGUCAAUUCUUUACAAAAGAAUACUCGCUCCUAAACAUAGCCUGUUCAUCUACACUGUCCCGCAGAAUUCUAGAAAGUUAGGCAAAACUAGACAAGUUGACAGGUAUAAUCAUACCCAAGAUCAGGAACAAGCAGUUGCACAUUUCAAAAUUCGCUGCUGCAACAGCUAAUUUGAUGACUUACAACACUACACGGUCAAACUUUGAAUGGCAAUGGAUCUUUUGUUGUACGUCAUGAUGUAAUUUUCAUGUUACAUACAUUAAUAGGUUGAUAUCUAUAUUCUUUAAAUUAUCAUGAUAAUACCCUUAAUUAGAUUUAACUGAUAAAAAGAACACGUGUUAAUAUACAAAAGUGUGUAACGUGAAUGUUACAUUACUGUAUUGCAGAAGACCUAUAGUCUCUUCAUAUCUCUUCCUGCACGUAUCAAUUCGUUUCCUCUAGAUAAUAAUCUCCCAACUCGUUUCUUUACAAAUGCACCUUUUAUGUUUUAUUACCUCCAAAAGCCUUUACAGGGUCUUUACCCUAAAAAUCAAUUCACCGACUCGCAUUUGAUGUCAGAAAUUCUUAAGACGAAUUCUACUUUACUCAAAGAUUGACUGUUAAUAAUGAGACAGCGACCAUUUUGUAUUAUUAGACCGUCCUUCUUGAUAGGUAAAAGAAAUAGAGAGGAAAGUGGGUCCGUAUAUGGUCUUUUAUUCAUAGAUAAUACAACAUUACGCCAUCGAGCAUUCACACAAUAUUUCAAAGUCAUAGCAUGCCUAAGGCCCUGUUUGAUAGCUCAAUUUCGUAAUUAAAUUUAAUAGAUUCAAAUUUUAACACAUUUAAAUCAUUUGAUAACAAAAAAUUGAAUAUUUAAAUUAAUUAAGUAACACUGAACUUUCUAAACAAAACUUGCUUUCAAAAUUAAGUGAUAAGUUAUUCACUUAUCUUUGAAUGUGAUAUGCACUCAAAUAUAUUAAAUUUAAUAAUUUAAUGGAUUCAGAUUUCAGAUUUCAGUUUUAUUACACACCCUAAGUUGCAAAAUAAUACCAAAACUUGUUAUUAUAUAGCUUGAGAUUCAAAAAUUUAGAGCAUAAUUCUCAACCUAACACAAUCGAAUAAUGAAUAUUCACGAUUGUUUCAAAGUACAAUUUGAGGACAACCCAUUCCAACGCGUACACGAUUUUUAACUUUUCUAAAGUUGUUGAGAGCUGUUAAAAGAGAUUUACCAUGUUUACAUCUUCCAAGUCUUGGAAGUGAAAAAUGAAGCCACUGAGUGCUAUAAAAAGGGGGCUAGAGGCUGCCUAGAAGCAUAUCAGCCUAAAACAAGAAUUUGUAGUAACAAUGGGGAGCAAAGCAAAAGCAACGGGGUCUAGGCUGACUCCUCUUCUUACCACUGUUUUAGUGGUAUUUGUCGCCCUUGGCUUGCCCUUGGAAACUGCAGCUGAUUAUUACAAGUAUUCAUCUCCUCCUCCUCCUCCUUACCACUAUUCUUCACCACCACCUCCAGUGUAUUCACCUCCACCAACCCCUGCUUAUAAGUUACCCCCACCAUCUCCUCCAGUUUACAAGUCCUCACCACCACCUUACCACUACUCACCACCUCCGGUGUAUUUACCUCCACCAUCUCCAGUUUACAAGUCACCACCACUACCCCCUCCGGUAUACAACUCCCCGCCUCCACCAGUGUACAAAUACAAGUCCCCACCACCACCUCCUCCAGUUUACAAAUCUCCAUCGCCACCAGUUUACAAAUACAAGUCACUCCCACCACCUCCUCCGGUAUACAAGUCUCCUCCGCCACCUGUUUACGAGUACAAGUCUCCUCCACCACCUCCUCCAGUGUACAAGUCCCCACCACCUCCAGUUUACAAGUACAACUCACCUCCACCUCCUCCCCCAGUUUACCUGUCUCCACCUCCACCCUAUCAUCACUACUACGGUUCUCCUUCUCCUCACCACUACUAAGCAAGUGCAUAAGUUUUGAGGUAAUAAUACCUAUCCAAAACUUUAUCAACACAAACUGCCAUGUAUAUUAUCAUGCUAAGGACGUACACUUGAUCCAUGAAAAUGACUAGUAGAAGAUUUUUUUUAAGAACCAAAGAAAUACAUUAUUUUUUCGGUCUGUUUUCAAGAAUUUGAGCAGUAUACAGAUUAAAGAGUGUUUUUUUUUUUGUAAACUUGCUUGUCAACUUAAAAAUGCACAUAGCUGAAAGCCAACUGAAUAUUUGCAGGCAAAGGAGAAGGCAAUCGGUGUUUGAGACCUUCAAGAAGAUGUAGAAGAAUAAGAAUAAAAGCCCAAUGCGAGGAUGAUUCCAAGUUUCUACGUUACCAUUUCUACAUCUAAAUUGACUUUAGCUCCUGAGUUCCAUGUUUAUGGGGUUUGUACCGUUUUACGUACCAUGCAGUACAUGCUUGCAAGGUUUUCUGUCCUGUUGGCAAACUGCAGGUCCAUAUAAUAAAUGAAUACUAUUUACAUUACGACACUUUUCUCUUUUUCUCUUAUAUUUUGUCUUUAAUAUUGUUGAUCAUUUUUUUUUUAUCAAAAGCAUCAAAUGCUUAGGUAAUUUGGUCUAAUGCUAAUUGUUUUACUUUUAUUUUUCACCUACACCCCUUUUCAACUCAAAGGAUGCUAUAGUUUGUGAUAAUUGUUUAAGACCGAAGCAUGAUACUAAUAAAUAUCUCAUUGAAAGUCAAGGAAACUAACAUUAGGAAAAGUUUAAAUCUUGAUUUGAUGAAACUAUUUAUUCGUGGAAUUUAGAGAUACAAAACUCAAAUUGUGACGGUGUUGUUGCUAAAUUAUUAAGGACAUUAUCACCAUUAUUUUUCCCUGAUCACUAGUUUCAACUGCAAUGAUCUCAAUCUUUUUGUGACUAAUUCUUUCCUUAAUAAUUUAUAAAGACAAAACUCACAAAGAAUAUGUGACUAAUUCUUUCCUUUCGUCUUCUAAAGAAAAUGCCAACUGUUAGUUUAUCAAGGGGAAAAAGGAUCGACAUCAGUUAUUAUUGAAACUAGUAAGGAAUAAAUAAUGGUGAUAAUGUCCUUAAUAAUUUAACAACAGCACCAUCAGAAUUUGACUUUGAGCUUCGGUCUUAAACAAUGAUCACAAACUACAGCAUCCUUUGAGUUGAAAAAGGAAGUAGGUGAAAAGAAAAGUAAAAAAUACAAUUAGCAUUCCCUCAAAUUGUAGAAAGUUAGGUAGCAUUAUAGACAAGUUGAUAGCGGCAAUUUUACAUUUCAAACUUCACCUAUUCAAUAACUAAUUCGAUGGCUUGCUACAUGGUCAAUCUUUGGACCCCUUCCUGCCUCCAGAUAUCCCUUUCCUCAAUCAGGGGCUUCUACAAUUACCAGUUUCAAUUGUAUGGUAUAGUGUAAAUAUCAACAAAUUAGAUGUAGAUGCUAACAUAAUAAAUGUGAAUGCUAAGACAGCAACAUACAAUCGAACCUGCAAUUGUAUGAACCCCAAUCUCGCUUCCUAGUCCACCAUCUUUCUCUAGGUAAUAAUCUCCCUUCUAAUUUAUUCACAAAAUGCACCUUUCAUCACCUCCAAUAGCGUCGACAUGAUCUUUACCCUAGAAGACUAUUCACCGACUCUCAAUUGACGUCAGAAAAUCUAAGAGUAAUUCUACUUUACCCUAAGAUUGAUAUCAACAAGACAAGGACAAUUUAGAAUUAUUACACGCCUCUUCUUAAUAGGAAAAAGAAAUAGAGAAGAAAGUCAGGCCAGGUCUAAUUUCUUUUCAAAGGCAAUACAACAUUACGAAAUCAAGCAUUCAUUCAUACAAAUAUUUCAUAGUCACCGGUUUGCUGAGUAGAAAAAUUUAGACAAAAACUUAAUAUUAUAUUGUUUAAGAGUUAACAAUUUAGAGCUUAAUCUCCUUGUACUUUGGAGUUAACAAUUUAGAGCUUAAUCUCCUUGUACUUUGGACUAAACUUGAACGUGAAAGGAAAUCCCAAAACCAUAUUGGGCAUGAAUUCACACUUAAUAUACCCAAUAAAAGAUGGCGACUGGUGAAAGGCAGUGGAGACUGGUGGAGAGAUUUGAGGAAUAGAAGCAGACGGAAAAGCAACAAAUUUUUGCCGAAAAACGGUCACUUUCAUGGUUAAUUUUGCUACUCUCCAAUUGUACUUGACCAAUUACAACAAUUUCAUGGAGUUUGAUACGUGAAAAGAAUUUUUUAUAAAUUUUAUUUUGAUCCAUAAUGUUAUCUUUACAUAUAUAAAACAUUUUACAAUUUUGAUUUUGGCGCAGCUAACUUUUGGUUAACAAAAAUGCUCAUGUUUAAAAAACCAGAAAUAAAACAAAACAAGAAACAAAAGAAAUAAGAGGGUAGCAUAGACAUUUUGGAUUUUUCCGUUAAUUUGGAUGAUUUCCACCCACGUUCUAAUUUAAUCCAAAACACAAAGGAAUUACGUAGAGGUUUUAAAUAAUGAGGGAGCUUCAUGAUCGAACCCCAAACCACAAGGCGAUUUACUAUAUUUUACUCUUAAAUUUUGGUUUCAUCUCAUAGCAUACAAGAGUUCUAUUUCACUAUCUGUAGACAAAGACUUUCUAUGGUUGAUGUACCAUAGGAAAAAAUCUGCCUAUACAACGUGAUAGCAUUUUUUCAAAAACACAAGAUGGAAAAUUGCCCCUUAAACGGGGAAAUUCAUGAUCUUUCGUCGAACAAAGAAUACUCACGCCUAUUCAAGAUGGAAAAUUGCCCCCUUAAACGUCUAUUUGUCAAUUCUUGAAAAAAGAAUACUCACGCCUAAAACACGGCCUCUUCAUCUGCAGAAUUCUAAAAAGUUAGGUAAACUCUAUAAACAAGUUGAUAGGUACAAUCGUACCCAAGAUCAAGUACAGAUAGUUGUACAUUAACUGCUGCAAUAACUAAUCUGAUGACUUAUAAACAUAUCAUGGUCAAUCGUUGAAUGGUAAUGAGUCUUUUGUUAUGCAUUAGUAUUAGUGUGUACACUCUAAUAGAUUGAUACUUAUACUCUUUAAAUUAUCAUAAUAAUACCCUUAAUUAACUUUAACUCUUAAAAAGAAUACAUGUUAAUACACGAGUGUGUGUAACCUGAAUUGUUACUUAUAAAUUAGUGUGUAAUAGAUAGGGAUGGCAAUGGGGGCGGGUGCCCGCGGGGGGCUCUCGGGGCGGGGGUUGGGGCGGGGGGGAAUUUUUUCCCCCCGUUUAGAAAUGGGGCAGGGGACGGGGGAGUAUACCCCCGCCCCAUCCCCCGCAAAAAAAAAAUUAUAUAUAAUAUGUAAUUUAAUUAGUUAUAAACUUAUGAUAAUGAUAUUAUUAGUUAGAUGUAUUAUAUAAUGUAUAUUAGUGUAUGUAAUAUAAUUAAUAUUAUCAAUUAUAUGAAUAAUUAGACAUGUCUACUAAUAGAAUUUAUGAAUUAGUUAUACUAAAUUUACUAAUACAUUUAUACUAAAUUUCUAAUUACACUUAAUAGAAUAACACUUUUUUCUAAAACAAAAAAGCACAAACACAAUAAUGAAUUAGUGAUUGUAUGAUAGGGUGUAAUUUUACUAUUUAUUUUAUUAUUAAUUUCCCCUAUCACCUGACCUGAUGUGGAUUAAUUGCUGGAUUCUGCUCACUUUUAGUACUUUGUAUUUAUUUCAGGGAGUAGAACGGAAAUUUGAUAACAGGUGCUAAUUUGGCAGAAAAAGAGUCCAGAUGAUAGAGCUUGCCCCAAGGGCAUUUUUGGAAAGGAGAACUUGUGCCCAUCUUGGUAAUUUGGGAGAAAAGGGAAACAGACAAAAUGGGUCUAACAUGGAUUGGAAGCGGCCGCACAGUAGCAGGGAAGAGGGCAGACGUAAAAGCAAUUGCAGGGGGGAAAAGGAGUUUUUUUAGUUUUUAGCUUAGCAUCUGAUUUUCCCUGGGAGACUUUUGUUAAAGAUUUCCUUUUGGCUGAUAUUACGCAUGGCAGAUGGCUUUUAACUUAUUCCUCCAUCUUUGACUUUUCUUCUUUAGCUUGUGGCAGUGGAUUGCUACUUACGAAUGUCAGCACUUAGCCAUUCGUGGCUUUUGAUCUUUUCUUCCUUAGAAAUUCUGAGUAACCUCUUUUCCUUUGUGCGCCAGACGAAGUGAAAACUAUAAACUUUUGUAGUUUUUCUAUUCAUUCAAUAUAUUGAGACGAGUUGGAUUCUACCAAAUUUCAACGGACAUGGCCGCUGGUUUCUCUUCAAUUUUAUAUGGGCUUUGUUCAUCCAACAUGAACUAAUUUCACCACUCUAGUCAAGGAGCAACGAAGGCUCUGAUUUGCCUAAAAAUUGUGAGAUCGUUUUAAUUUAAUCUUUUCCUUUUAUUUAUUGGUAUCCGCACAUUUCUUGAUUGCUAUGCUUAUGGUUAUUUAAUUAAUUGAUUGUCUUGGAUCCAGAUAAUUAAUUGAUCUGAUAGCCUAUUGUCAAUUAGGGCAUUUAAAUCCGUAAUUGUUUAAUUGUCCUGAAAUAGUGACAACUGGCACGAUUAGAUUCGUGCCAGGGGGGAUAUGCGGGCUAAUCUAAAAUAACCCUGGUAGUGUGUUAUUUGGUUAGAAUAGGGCUCCUCUAAUACUAAGGCAAUUGGGGAAUUAAAUUCUACGGGCGUACCUAGGAUUAUUUCUUAAUUAGAGCAGUGAUUAACGGGCGUACCUUGAUCACCGACACAGUAAGGAGGGGUUGACCGUCAUCGCUUGUUUGGCAGUUAUAACCUAUUUAUCAGUAAAUAAUUGGGAUUGCCUUGCAUCAAUGAUCAAUUAGGUGAACCAUUGUUGAAGUUACUUCUUGGUUAGAUCUUUAGUUAAUAUUACCUUGAUUUUGGUGAAUUGCCAUUUGAUUUUUAGUUGCCUACUUUAUUUUAUUUUUAAUUGUUUCCUUGCUUUAAUUGAGUUAGGCCUUUAAUUAUUGUUAUUCUAAGUUUAGUGAAUUGUGGUUUAAUUCCUAAUUAGUUAUUUAUUUUUACUUUCUUAUUUGAAUUUAUUUGCUUGUUAUCAUUCCUACGAAAUCACCCCCCUGUGUUACUUUGGAUUUCUUAAGAAACAAAUAUACCCAAUCCCUGUGGAUACGACCCUACUUGCUCUGUUCACGAAUUCAUAAUUAUUUGUGAAAAGAAAUAACCAUUCCACUCGGGUAUAUCGGAUCAAGCAAAUUCUUCGGGAACAGGGUGAAUCAAGUAACCCAAUGCACACCUAGAGUCCCUGCUCCAGUACUUGGAAUUGGGUUUUGGUCAUUUUAACUGGCAAUUAGGUUUAAUUUUAUUAUUGCACAGGCUGACGACCCUGUCAAUUUUUGGCGCCGUUGCCGGGGACUGGCGUUAUUAUUUGUUUCUUUUUAAAUUCAUUCUUUGUCCUAAUUUUCUGGUUUUCUUCUAGUGUAUGCCUCGAUCUUCUCGUACAGGUAAUUUGAUUUUUGACCCUGAGGUAGAGAAGACCGCAUGUAGAACGAGAAAGGAAACCAGACAGCUCAGAGAAGAGCACUCCAGUGCUACAUCUCAGAGACCCGAGUCAGAAGUUGAACUAACAGAUUCGUUUGGUAACACUUCGAGUGACUCUGACCAGGAGGAAGACACCAUGGCUAAUGCACGAACAUUAAGGGAGUUGGCUGCUCCUGAUUUAACUCAGCAGCCUUUAUGCAUUACUUUCCCCACUUUAAAUGAUAACAUUCCAUUUGAACUAAAAUCUGGUCUGAUUCAGCUUUUACCCUCUUUUCAUGGUUUACCAGGUGAAGAGCCGUAUAAGCAUCUGCAGGAGUUUGAUGUCGUGUGUAAUAGUAUGAAACCCUCGGGAAUCACAGAAGAGCAGAUAAAAAUGAGGGCAUUCCUCUUCUCCUUGAAAGAUUCUGCGAAGGACUGGCUGUACUACCUGUCACCAGGUAGCAUCACCACGUGGGACCAAUUGAAGAAAAAAUUUUUGGAUAAAUAUUUUCCUGCGUCCAGGGCUGCAAGUCUAAGGAAAGAAAUUUGUGGGAUCAAGCAGCAUCCAGGGAAGUCACUUUAUGAGUAUUGGGAACGGUAUAAGAACUUGUUGCGCAGGUGCCCCCAACACCAAAUAAGUGAGCAAUUGAUCAUACAGUAUUUUUAUGAGGGGCUCCUUUUUAGAGACAGGAGCAUCAUUGAUGCCAGGGGGGAGGGUUGGGAUGGGUGGUACGGGGGGAGGGAGUGUAAGCAAGAGGUCUCGGGUUCGAGUCCUCCCGCUUACACACAAAAAAAAAGAUGCUGCAAGUGGAGGGGCACUGGUAAACAAAACCCCUCAGGAAGCACGGGAGUUAAUAGAGGGGAUGGCAGAGAAUUCACAACAAUUCAGUACAAGAGAGGAUGUCCCAAUACGUAAGGUGAAUGAGGUAGAGACACCCUCUAUGCAGCAGCAGCUAACUGAGUUGACCGCGUUUGUUAGGCAACUGGCUGUGAGAAAUGCAUCACAAGCCAGGGUGUGCGGGAUUUGCACUGGUAUGGGUCAUUCUGCAGACAUGUGCCCAAUGAUUCAGGAAGAAACUGCAGAACAGGUGAACAUGGCUGACCACGCGCCCGCGCCAAGGAAGCAGUACGACCCUUACUCAAGCACCUACAACCCCGGGUGGAGAGAUCAUCCCAACCUCAGUUAUGGAGAAAAUAGGCAGCCCAACAUUACACCGAACAGGCAGUCUAACUUUGUGCCAAAUAGGCCACCAGGGUACCAGCAGCAAUAUCAACCCCGACCACCUCCGUCCCCAAGCUCUGGCCCAUCUUUGGAGGAGAUGAUGAAACAAAUGAUGACAACUAUGGCUCAAAAUCAGCAAAUGACGGAGGCAACCAUUAUGCAAAAUCAGCAAAGGACGGACUCCGAAAUGAAGGAUAUAAGGAAUCAGAUAAGUCAAAUGGUCACAACAAUCAACCGUUUGGAUUCCCAGAACCAAGGUAAAUUGCCAUUUCAGCCCGAAUUAAAUUCGAAGAACGUGAGCGCAAUGACCCUAAGGAGCGGGAAAGAAAUUCAGGGGUCUGAACCUGUGAUCCCUAAGGAUAAGGAUGAGGAAAAGAUCGAAAAUGAGCUUGAAAGGGAGGACAGCAAUGGUGCAGAUCUAAAGGUACUUCCUGACCCAAUAAUUACAGCUAAAACUAACCCGCCUCCUUUUCCUAGCAGGUUGGAAAAAUCGAAAAAAGAGGAUAAGGAGAAGGAGAUCUUGGAGGUUUUUCGCAAGGUUGAGAUAAAUAUCCCCCUCUUAGACGCAAUCAGACAAGUACCAAAAUAUGCCAAGUUCCUAAGGGACUUGUGUGUCAACCGAAGGCAGUUGAGGGAAGAUGAACGGGUUAUUGUUGGGGAGAAUGUGUCAGCAGUCCUGCAGAGAAAGCUCCCACCAAAGUGCGGGGACCCAGGUAUGUUUACUAUUCCCUGUAGGAUAGGUAAUACUGUGAUAGAAGGGCCAUGUUGGAUCUGGGAGCAUCAAUUAAUCUCAUACCUAAAUCUAUCUAUGCUUCUCUAAAAUUAGGUCCAUUAAAAGAAACUGGAAUAAUCAUUCAAUUAGUUGACCGAACUAAUGCAUAUCCUGAUGGGUUGGUUGAAGAUGUGUUGGUAAAAGUUAAUGAUUUGAUGUUUCCAGCUGAUUUUUAUGUACUUGAUAUGGAUGAUGAUCACUCCCCUGAUCCCUCACCUCUGUUAUUGGGUAGACCCUUUAUGAGCACAGCACAGACGAAAAUUGAUGUUAAUAAGGGUAUCUUGUUCAUGGAGUUUGAUGGGAAAAUUGUGCAUUUCAAUAUCUUUGAUACUAUGAAAUAUCCCUCAAACUCCAACUUUAGCACAGUUUUCUCUGUGAGUGCUAUUGACCCUGUAGUGCAGGAAGUGUUUGAAACUGAUGGCAGGGAUGAGUUGGAGGUGGCUUUGACCAAGCACCUCGAGUUGGAGACAACUCCUGAGGUGGAAUGGAGCGAGGACCUAAAAUGCACAAUAGGUGCAUUACACUCAUUGCAGUCCACCACGAAAAGGUAUGAAGUCUUACCUAUUUUUACUCCCGAACCUCACCAGAGGGUGUUGCCAUCUGUGGUGCAGGCACCUGUACUAGAAUUUAAACCUCUAUCAGAGCACCUGAAAUAUGCAUAUCUGGGUGAUAAUGAGACACUCCCGGUGAUUAUCUCAUCGACACUGUCAAAAAUCCAGGAGGAGAAACUGAUCCGGGUCCUUAGAGAGCAUAAAGAGGCGAUAGGUUGGACAAUCGCAGAUAUUAAGGGGAUCAGCUCGGCCAUCUGUAUGCACCGGAUUAGACUAGAAGAGGAUGCCAAACCUGUUAGGCAGGCUCAAAGGAGGCUCAACCCCCUAAUGAUGGAAGUUGUAAAGAAAGAAAUUUUAAAAUUGCUAGAUGUGGGGAUUAUUUUUGCAAUAUCAGAUAGCCCUUGGGUAAGCCCGAUCCAGGUAGUCCCAAAGAAGGCAGGGGUGACGGUGGAGGCAAACCAAACGGGUGAGCUCGUGCCAGUGCGCAAACCCACUGGAUGGAGGCAGUGUAUAGACUACCGUAGGCUAAACGCCGUCACCAAAAAGGACCAUUUCCCUCUCCCUUUCAUUGACCAAAUGGUUGAACGUUUAGCUUGUAGAGCUUAUUAUUGCUUUUUGGAUGGAUUUUCAGGAUACUUUCAGAUAGCAAUUGCUCCAGAGGAUCAAGAGAAGACAACCUUCACGUGCCCGUUCGGGACCUUUGCUUAUAGACGAAUGCCAUUUGCGUUGUGCAAUGCACCUGCAACAUUCCAGAGGUGUAUGGUAAGUAUUUUUUCUGAAUAUGUGGAGAAAAUUAUUGAAGUUUUCAUGGACGAUUUCAGUGUGUAUGGUGAUAGUUUUGAUACGUGUUUAGAUAAUCUGAAAUUGAUCCUGAUAAGGUGUAUAGAGACUAAUCUUGUGCUUAAUUGGGAAAAAUGUCAUUUUAUGGUUGAGCACGGGAUAGUCCUGGGUCAUAUUGUAUCGUCUAAGGGCAUAGAAGUUGACAAGGCUAAAAUAGAUAUUAUUUUUGCAUUACCUUACCUCGCGAGUGUGCGGAAGGUGCGUUCUUUUCUUGGACAUGCAGGUUUUUAUCGAAUGUUCAUCAAGGAUUUUUCAAAAAUUGGAGCCCCGUUAUUCCAACUCCUACAAAAGGAUGUGACCUUCGAAUUCGAUGAUAAGUGUGAGGAAGCCUUCAACAAGUUGAAAGAAUUGUUGACCUCACCCCCAAUUAUCCAGCCCCCUGAUUGGAGUCUACCAUUUGAGAUCAUGUGCGAUGCCAGUGAUCAUGCCGUAGGGGCUGUAUUGGGGCAAAGAGUAGGGAAGGCAGCUCACGUCAUCUACUAUGCAUCCCGAGCAUUGAAUGGAGCCCAAUUGAAUUACUCCACUACUGAAAAGAAGCUUCUUGCAGUUAUUUUUGCUUUAGAAAAAUUCAGGUCAUAUUUGCUAGGUGCUAAAGUAAUUGUAUUUUCUGACCAUGCAGCAUUAAGGUACCUAAUGACCAAGAAAGAUGCCAAACUGAGGCUCAUUAGGUGGAUAUUGCUACUGCAGGAAUUUGACCUGGAGAUACGGGAUAAAAGGGGCUCAGAGAAUUUAGUAGCUGACCAUCUGAGUCGUAUACCCGUUGGAGAGGAUAAUGAACCAUUGAGGGAUGCGUUCCCUGAAGAGCACUUAUUUUCUUUAAAUUCUCAGUUGCCUUUGUAUGCCGAUCUGGUCAAUUAUUUGGUAACUGGUAAUUUUCCUGCAGGUUGACCAAAAUCGAAGAGGGAUAAAUUGAAGAGCGACGCCAAGUAUUUUAUUUGGGACGACCCGUACCUAUGGAAGAGGUGUGCAGAUCAAGUGAUGCGGAGAUGUGUAAGUGAAAUGGAAUUUCAAUCGAUUUUAGCUUUUUGUCAUACUUUUGCCUGUGGAGGUCAUUUGGACCCAAGAGAACUGCUCAUAAGGUUUUAGAAAGUGGAUUUUAUUGGCCUUCAUUGUUUAAGGAUGCCUAUGUGUUUUGUAAGUCAUGUGAUCGCUGUCAAAGGGUAGGUAAUAUACCCCGUAGAGAUCAAAUGCCCCAAGUCCCGUUGAUUUUUAUUGAAAUUUUUGAUGUCUGGGGUAUAGAUUUCAUGGGGUCUUUUCCUACUUCAUUUGGUUUUUUAUAUAUUUUGCUGGCAGUUGAUUAUGUGUCUAAAUGGGUGGAGGCUAAGGCCACUCGAACUAAUGACUCGAAAGUAGUUGCAAAUUUUGUCAGGUCUAAUAUUUUUGUGCGAUUUGGAAUGCCUAGUGCUAUUGUCAGUGAUAGGGGAACGCACUUUUGCAACAAAAUCAUAGCUGCGUUGUUUCGCAAGUAUGGUGUACUCCAAUGGGUCUCAACGUCGUACCACCCUCAGACCAAUGGUCAAGCGGAGGUGUCGAAUCGAGAGAUCAAGUCUAUCUUGGAGAAAAUGGUGCGCCCCGAUAGGAAAGACUCGAGUCAAAGGCUGGAGGACGCACUUUGGGCCUAUCGGACGGCGUACAAGACUCCUAUAGGGAUGUCACCGUACAGGUUGGUAUUUGGGAAGCCGUGUCACCUUCCAGUGGAGUUUGAGCACAAAGCUUUUUGGGCGAUAAAGUAAUGCAACAUGAAUUUAGAGGAAGCCGGUGCCCAACGAAAGUUGGAUUUGCAAGAAUUAGAAGAGAUCCGGAACGAGGCUUACGAAAAUGCACUAAUUUAUAAGGAGAGAAGCCGGAUAUUUCAUGAUCAACAAAUUUCAAGAAAAUCCUUUGAAGUUGGUCAGAAGGUCCUACUAUACCAAUCCAGGCUCAAGCUAUUCCCAGGUAAACUACGUUCCCGUUGGAUUGGACCUUUUCUUGUUACUCAUGUUUUUCCAUAUGGUGCAGUUGAAAUCCGGAGCGCUAAAACAGACAACAAAUUUGUGGUGAAUGGACACCGUCUCAAGCAUUACUACGAAGGAUUUUCAGGUGAAAAGGUGGAGACAAUAAGUCUAGACGCGCCACCGUGUCCUAAUCAGUGACAUUUUACUAUGUCUAGCCAAAGACAUUAAAGACAGGCGCUCAUUGGGAGGCAACCCAAUUGUCCCUUUUAAUUAUUUGUUUGAUUUCGUGUGAUAGUUUAAAUAUGUUUUCCUUGAAUUCGACUGAUUUUGGGUUUCAGUUUUCGUUUUUGCUGAAUUGUAGGUGACCUUCAGUCUUGACGCGCCCGCGUGAUGACAUGCAGGAAGCUCACGAUCAGAAUCGUCUGAAAGCUCUCUUGCCCUUUUGACGCACCCGCGUGAUGACGUGCAGGAAGCUCACGAUCAGAAUCGUCUGAAAGCUCUCUUGCCCUCUUGACGUGCCCGCGUCACGUUCGCAGGAAAGGUACGGGUUUCAAAAAUUUAAAGAAAAAAUAAUAAUAAUAAUAAUUUAAAAUUUUGAAAUUAACUUCCGUAAAAAAAAAAAAGAAGAAAAAAAAUUUCACCGUGGCUUAAAUAGAGCCUAAAGAAGAGAAAAAAGAAACAAUUUCUUUCUUUUUUUUUUCUUUUUCUUCUUUCUUCCUUCUUUCUUUCUUUCUUCUUUCUCUUUUCCCUCUCUCUUCUCCCCUGUUUCUUCUCCCCUGUCCGUCGCCCGUGCGCCCCAUCGCUGCUCCACCUCCACACGCACGCCGACGCUGCGAGCCACCUGCGACCCCAGCGCCAGAUCUGGACCAUCGCCGAAACCCGCAGCCUCCGCCACCUCCACCUGAGCUCUGCCUCGCGCGCAACCCAGCUGCUCUGCGCCCGAAGCUCCACCGCCGCCACAGCCUCCCCACGCAGCUCCCUGCUCACGCGGCCACAAGCCCAUUGGAAACGGGACAGAGACUGCCGCCGAGCCACUUGCCCGCGUGACCGCCGCUGUUUUCCACCACCUCCCUCACGCGAGCUCUUUCCCUCUCAGCAGCAAUCCACUUCACAGCGCACCCGCUGCGCGCCGUCGCAGCCCUCGCAGCUCCAGCCCGUCUGGUCUAGUCCGCCGCGCGCACCAACCACCCACGGACGCUACCCCCAUCGCUAACCCACGCGGCCUCCACUCCAGUCUGUCCGCCGCCGCUGCUCGUGUCUCCCUUGCGCACCUCACGCCACCCGCUACUGUCCCCUUCCGUUUGGUUAGCAUCCACGGUGGAGGUAAUUGGAGGUUAUUUUCUCAAUUGUGUGACUUCCGCCUGUGAUACUGGUUGCAUUAUUUUUGCUGGGAAUUGCUACUUCUUUUGGGUUGGGUUCAACUGUGCAAUUAAUUGGCCAACUGGAGCCAUUUGUUGGGAUUUUGGGUGAGCUGAAAUACUGCAUUUGUGUGUUACAUUGGGAGGUUUAUUGGGUACAUUCUAACCGCUGUUUUCCAUUGUUACUCUCGCUGGGGUGUCUAUUAAAUUGCGAUUGAAGUAUUUUGGAUAUUGCAUGUUGAGAUUGAGGUUUCAUUGAAUUUGGCCUACGUUCUGCCCCCAGUGGUACUGGUGGGAAUAUUUUCAAUUGAAUUUGUUACCUCUAGUUGGUUGGCUACAUUAUUAUGGUCGAAUUCCUAAGUUGUCGUCAUUGCAUUUGUUGAUCUUGAUUUGGGGCAUUAACCGGCCAACUGGAGCCAUCUGUGCGUUUUUAGGCGCUAUUAUUGGUUUCUUCUCCCUUAACUUUGUCAACUAUAUUUGGUUGGGUAUUUGGUUGACUGCCACGGACUUGUAACUGUGUUUUGCUUCUAAUUGACCAGUUGCACAGCAGUUUUUUUUUAAUUGAUAGGGUGGUUAUACCUCUGGAUAUUUGUAUCCACUGGUUUGAGGACAUGGUGAGACCAAAAUCCUCCUCUAGGUCUAGGACCCCUAGAACCUCGCAAUCCCAACCCCAAGCCUCUACUCUAGUCAAUACCCCUAUAAAUCAACCUACUGCUCCCGGUGUCCGAACCUGGUUAGGUAGGGGUAGAGGUGCCCACGUGGCUUCCGCCACUCACUUGGGAGGGCAUUUGGAAUUCACUAGAGCCGCCGAUCAGCGACGCUAUGCUCAAGCUUGUGAGCGGCGUAUCAUUCCGUGCAAAUGCGCGGACCACAUUACUAUGGUUUUUCUGGGGAUCCAAGGGGAGGUUGAGCGCAUGUACACCGCCAUUGGAUGGCGCCCCUAUCUGGAUAUUUUCCAGCCAGCCUUUGUCGAGUUGACUAGAGAGUUUUACACCACUUUUAAGUUUGAAUUACCGACUAGGUAUACUGUUGCGACUCCCGAUAUCAUUCACUUCCGUCUCAUGGGCCAGGAAUUCAAUUUCUCUAUCACCCAGUUCAAUCUGGCUUUCGGUUUCAUCACUCGGGAGUAUGCAGAGACUAGGGAAUACGGUGAGAGUGCCUGCGAUUUUGUGGAACCUUUCCUUACCGCCUACCGUGAGGUGUGGGAGGACAUGUCUGUGGACAUGCAGCGUUACGAUCCCUCUCGGUCUCGGAGCUCCUUUCUAGAGGACCCGAGUGCUCGGUAUGUUCAGCGGCUUUUAGCAUAUAGCUACUCGGGCAGAAAGAACAGCUUCGGUAUUAUCUCUCGGCCGGAGCUCUUCUUCCUUUGGUGUAUGAAGAAUGGGUUCAAGGUCAAUUUGGGUUGUUGGUUGGCGGCACAGUUCAAGACCGUCAUGGCAAAGAAGAACAAGCCGUUGAUUCUUGGGUCGUAUAUCACGUACUUGGCGGUCCAGCUAGGCGUUCUGAAUCUACAGGAUCACGAUUUGCACUUGGCCUGCGACAUGGAGUAUCUCACUGCUGACCGGCUAGAGAAGAUGGGGGUUCUGGAGCUUGUCGAUGGCCACUACCGAUUUGUGCCCCCGGGACCGCCCCGCGCCCCGCCUCGCUCUUCCUCCACCCAUUCGGCCCCAGUUGGCGGUGAUCCUGGCCCGUCGACAUCCGCUCAGCUCCCUCCACCAGCAGGGGCUGAAGAUUGGCACCAAAUCAGGACGCAGAUUCAGAAUUUGGACGCCCGGAUGAUUAGCAUCGAGAGCAACGUGGCGGCUAUAUCACAGAAUCUGGCGGCAUUCCUGCAGCACUCGGGUUUCCCGCCCCCAAUCCCACCUCACCCUCCACUAUGACCCGGUUUCAGGGAAGUUUGGUUACUUUCUCCCUCACUUUUGUUGUUUUUUGACACAUUGAGGACAAUGUGUCCUAUAGGUGUGGGGGGGUCUAUAGUCUUUCUAGUUUUUAGUAGUUGUUAGUUUUUAGUUUUUUAGUAGUUUUAGUUUUAUUUCUAGUUGCGUAUUUUCUUUCUUUUCUUAGUGCUUAUUCCCCAUGUGAAAAGAAAAAGAAAACAAAAAAAAAGAGAAAAAAAUGUUGGUUUAUUGACUCUAACUCUACUUUUGCCAAGUUUUUUUUAAAUAAAAAUGUAUCGGGUUAAUGUGGUUGGAUCCAGAAUAUCUCCCUGGUGAAUAUCGGAUUGCUUGGCUCUUUUGAUUUCUGUGUUAAUUUCUCUAGGCAUAGGGAAUGACUGUUGGCAUUUUAAUGUGAACUGGUCCAAUAUUGACUCCAGUUCUCUAUGUUUGGCAAUAAUGAGGCGAGCUGUUCCUAUUUUUGGUUCUUAGUGUUGUUAUUAUGUGUUUUUGGCUUUGUUUGGCUGUGAAUAAUCUGGACUGUACUCCGCUAUGAGUUACUACUGAGUAACCGAGGAUCGGCACCUAAAAGUGUCGAUUCUCGCGUCAAAAGGUGGUACUUUAUAUGAGUACGUGGUCGUAUAGCAGUAGGAGCUGAGUAACCGGGCUCCUUCAUCUAAAAAUGUUGGAGUUCGCGUCAAAAGGCCCCGACGGCUAACGACUAAGUCUUUUUGUGUUAAUUAUUAUUGCUUUGAAAAACAAAAAAAAAAAAGAACGAAAAAAGAGAGAAUAAAUAAUAGGAAGGCUUGCCGGUUUAUGGACUUAAUAUGGAGACUUGUGUGAAUAUUUGGACCAUUAGCUAAUAAAUGUUGUGCGCCAUUCCCUUUUCUUAGAGUAGUUAACCUGGAAAUUGAAGGAAUUUGCAGUUUAGGGGCUAACCGGGGGGGAGGCUUCUUGGAUUUUAAUCACCAAUGCUCGAUAUAUGUUUUUCUCUUGAAGAUCUUGGCAAUAUAGGAGAUUGGACAAUGGCCAUCAUCGAAUUUUGGUGUUCGUUUACUAUUCUUAUGCUUGAGGACAAGCAUGGUUUAGGUGUAGGGGGAAUUGAUAGGGUGUAAUUUUACUAUUUAUUUUAUUAUUAAUUUCUCCUAUCACCUGACCUGAUGUGGAUUAAUUGCUGGAUUCUGCUCACUUUUAGUACUUUGUAUUUAUUUCAGGGAGUAGAACGGAAAUUUGAUAACAGGUGCUAAUUUGGCAGAAAAAAGUCCAGAUGAUAGAGCUUGCCCCAAGGGCAUUUUUGGAAAGGAGAACUUGUGCCCAUCUUGGUAAUUUGGGAGAAAAGGGAAACAGACAAAAUGGGUCUAACAUGGAUUGGAAGCGGCCGCACAGUAGCAGGGAAGAGGGCAGACGUAAAAGCAAUUGCAGGGGGGAAAAGGAGUUUUUUUAGUUUUUAGCUUAGCAUCUGAUUUUCCCUGGGAGACUUUUGUUAAAGAUUUCCUUUUGGCUGAUAUUACGCAUGGCAGAUGGCUUUUAACUUAUUCCUCCAUCUUUGACUUUUCUUCUUUAGCUUGUAGUAGUGGAUUGCUACUUACGAAUGUCAGCACUUAGCCAUUCGUGGCUUUUGAUCUUUUCUUCCUUAGAAAUUCUGAGUAGCCUCUUUUCCUUUGUGCGCCAGACGAAGUGAAAACUAUAAACUUUUGUAGUGUUUCUAUUCAUUCAAUAUAUUGAGACGAGUUGGAUUCUACCAAAUUUCAAUGGACAUGGCCGCUGGUUUCUCUUCAAUUUUAUAUGGGCUUUGUUCAUCGAACAUGAACUAAUUUCACCACUCUAGUCAAGGAACAACGAAGACUCUGGUUCGCCUAAAAAUUGUGAGAUCGUUUUAAUUUAAUCUUUUCCUUUUAUUUAUUGGUAUCCGCACAUUUCUUGAUUGCUAUGCUUAUGGUUAUUUAAUUAAUUGAUUGUCUUGGAUCCAGAUAAUUAAUUGAUCUGAUAGCCUAUUGUCAAUUAGGGCAUUUAAAUCCGUAAUUGUUUAAUUGUCCUGAAAUAGUGACAACUGGCACGAUUAGAUUCGUGCCAGGGGGGAUAUGCGGGCUAAUCUAAAAUAACCCUGGUAGUGUGUUAUUUGGUUAGAAUAGGGCUCCUCUAAUAUGUAAGGCAAUUGGGGAAUUAAAUUCUACGGGCGUACCUAGAAUUAUUUCUUAAUUAGAGUAGUGAUUAACGGGCGUACCUUGAUCACCGACACAGUAAGGAGGGGUUGACUGCCAUCGCUUGUUUGGCAGUUAUAACAUAUUUAUCAGUAAAUAAUUGGGAUUGCCUUGCAUCAAUGAUCAAUUAGAUGAACUAUUGCUGAAGUUACUUCUUGGCUAGAUCUUUAGUUAAUAUUACCUUGAUUUUGGUGAAUUGCCAUUUGAUUUUUAGUUGCCUACUUUAUUUUAUUUUUAAUUGUUUCCUUGCUUUAAUUGAGUUAGGCCUUUAAUUAUUGUUAUUCUAAGUUUAGUGAAUUGUGGUUUAAUUCCUAAUUAGUUAUUUAUUUUUACUUUCUUAUUUGAAUUUAUUUGCUUGUUAUCAUUCCUACGAAAUCACCCCCCUGUGUUACUUUGGAUUUCUUAAGAAACAAAUAUACCCAGUCCCUGUGGAUACGACCCUACUUGCCCUGUCCACGAAUUCAUAAUUAUUUGUGAAAAGAAAUAACCAUUCCACUCGGGUAUAUCGGAUCAAGCAAACUCUUCGGGAACAGGGUGAAUCAAGUAACCCAUUGCACACCUAAAAUCCCUGCUCCAGUACUUGGAAUUGGGUUUUGGUCAUUUUAACUGGCAAUUAAGUUUAAUUUUAUUAUUGCACAGGCUGACGACCCUGUCAUUGUAUUUGUACCAAAAGUGAAAACUUAACUAUUUUAGUUGUAUUUAUUUCAUCAUGUUGGAUUGUAUUCAAAUAAUUUUUGUUUGAUUGUUUUUAUAAGUUUCAAUUGUAAAAUUAAAAUGAAUAAUAACUUGAUGAUGUGUUGAUAUUUUAGUACUUGAUUAUUUAUUAAAAUUUAAUUAUAAUAAAAUUUUAUUAACUCAACGAGAAAAAUUUUAUUAAUCCCGUGGGGGCACCCGCGGGGAAAGCGGGGCGGGGCGAGGGGAGUGGGAGGCGGAGGACGGGGCGGGGGCGGGGGAUGGGGGAGGGGUCCCCCGCCCCAACCCCGCCAUCCCCCGUCCCGUUGUCAUCCCUAGUAAUAGACUGGCAAGCAUUGUGGUGGUCAUUGAGCAACUUAUAGGAGAAAUAGUCCUAUAAGCUGUUCAAUGACCAAUCACAACUUGCUAAUUGGAUGACUAAUAUAGCUCUAGCUGUAAUGUUUUAAUUAAAUUACAUCACUAACGUUGGGAUGACUUUUUAACCAAAAAAAAAAAGCCUUAGUUCAAGCUUUUCCCUUUAUUGUGCAUUUUUUAAAGCAUUUGAAAGGCACUGCAAAUCUGUCAUUUUGGACAUUUUAUUAUUGACUAACAAUGAAAGCCGUGGACGUCUACCCAUAACCAACACAAGAUUAAAUUAAUAUUAGAAAAAAUAAUUGAGUAAUUGGAAAAAAAAAAAAAAGAAGAGUCUAAUUUUCAUUGAAACCCACCGACAAACUAUACGUGUCCAUGGCUUUUGAAUAGUGCAUUCAACGUUUAAUUGUAUGGUCCAGUUCAUUGCAGAUUACAUGGAGUAAAGAUUGCGCUCUUUCCUUUUCACCCCUUUUGGAAUCGAUACUGUGGAGAAUUGGGUUUUUCCCUCCUUUUUUUCUUUUCUUUCCUUCUGUGGUUUGCAAAACAUACGUAAAAAUAUGAAAUCCGAAGCAUUCUUUAAUUGGUAUUAAGUAUUGUUGUUGAAAUUAAAAAGAAAAAAGAAAGAACAACAAAAUUCCCAAUCUGGGUUGAUUGUUGAGCUCUAGAUUGGUUGCAUCGUGCUUCCAUAGAAGCAAGAUUUGUAAAAUCGGAAUCCUACAUAGGAUCGAUUUUAGUUUCACAGGAUCGGAUUGUAAAAUCGUAAGAUCCUACCAAAAGCUCUCAAUUGCAAUUAAAGGUUGCAAUUCUUUAAUAAAUUACAAAUAUACCACAAAUAUUUUCAUUUACUUGCAAAAUGGAGCUUCGUAUUUCACAAAUUUACAAAAAAAUUGUAGGAUCGUACGAUCCUACCGAUCCUACGAUCCUACACGAUCCUACCGAUCCUGCUACGAUUCUAUGCGAUCCUACAAAGAUUAAUAUGAUUUGCGACUCUGCAUACGAUCCGGAUCGAUUUUGGUUAUCCGGAUCGUAGGAUCGUAUGAUCCUACGAUCCGGAUCGCGAUUUUGACAACUAUGCAUAGAAGCUCUCUUAGUGUGAUACACUGCUUUCAAUCAGUUUAACACGGGAAAAAAAAAAAGAGAUGAAAAGCAAAUUUGGUGGAGAUAAUUUCAGAAACCUCCCCUGAAGAUUUUGACUAUUCUACUGGUUUCCCUUCAGAUUUUAAAAAUUACACUAAUCUUCCUUGAAGUUAAUUAUCUUGUAACAUUUAAAUUCAAUCAAUAAUUUAAAAAAUGAUAUUAUGAGAGAGAAAAUAAUAUGAUUUUAUCAUUGCCCCCCAUCUUACUACAUUAUUUAAUUAAUUUAAUAGCAACCCACACAUUAAAGAAAAAUAUUAAAAUUUGUUGUUUAUCAUUAAAGAUCAAAUCGCUUAUAACAUCAAAUAAUAGUAUAUUAUUUAUAUUUUUCACUUAAUAUAAUAUCCAAAUUACUCUUUUCAAUUACAUACCCAUUGUUAGAGAAUCAACAACAAAUAACCAAAAAAUUUGCAACCAAAAUAUUACAAAAAAAAUAAACUUUAACAUCAUAAAUAUUCUUAUCAACAUAUUAAAGUUAGUUACUGAAAUUUUUAUGCUGUUAAACUUCACUCUUUUUGAAUACAGAUUUUUUUGAUUAUUUGUUAUUAAUUAUGUUUGAUGAUGGGUUUAUAAUUGAAAAGAACAAUUUGAAACUUACAUUAAGUAAAAUAUAUAGAGUGAUAUACUAUUUUUUAUAACAUAUGUGAUUCAAUCCUUCUUGAUAGGAUUGGUAAUAGAGGUAGAGGGGGGAGUCGGCUGCAUCCGGUCUUCUUUUCAUAGAUAGUACAAUAUUGCGAAAUCAAUCGCAUUCACACAAUAAUAUUUCGAAGUCAAUGCAUGGCUAAGUUGCAUAAAAGUACGAACACUUGUUAUUAUAUAGCUUAAGAUUCAAAACUUUCGAGCAUAACCCUCCACCCAACACAAUUGAAUAAUGAAUAUUCACGAUUGUCAAAUCUGUCAAAGCACAGUUUGAGGACAACCCAUUCCAACCUGCAAAAGAUUUUUUACUUUUCUAAAGUUGUUGAGAGCUGUAAAAAGACUUACCAUGCUUGCAUCCUCCGAGCCUUGGGAGUUAAAAAUGAAGGCACUGAGUGCUAUAAAAAGGGGAAUAGAGGCUGCCUAGAAGCAUAUCAGCCUAAAACAAGAAUUUGUAGUUAAGAUGGGAAGCAAAGCAAAAGCAAUGGGGUCUGGGCUGACUCCUCUUCUUGCCACUGUUUUAGUGGUGUUUGUUGCUCUUGGCUUGCCCUCACAAACUGCAGCUGAUGAUCACUACAAGUAUUCAUCUCCUCCUCCUCCUUACCACUAUCCCUCACCACCACCACCAGUGCAUAUACCUCCACCUCAUCCUGUUUACAAGUACAAAUCUCCACCACCCCCACCACCACACCCAGUUUACAAGUAUAAGUCACCACCACCACCUCCUCAUCCGGUAUACAAGUAUAAGUCUCCUCCGCCACCACCACACCCAGUUUACAAGUACAAGUCACCACCACCACCUCCUCAUCCGGUACCACACCCAGUUUACAAGUAUAAGUCACCUCCACCACCUCCUCAUCCGGUACCCACAGUUUACAAGUAUAAGUCACCACCACCACCUCCUCAUCCGGUAUACAAGUAUAAGUCUCCUCCGCCACCACCACACCCAGUUUACAAGUAUAAGUCACCACCACCACCUCCUCAUCCGGUGCCACACCCAGUUUACCACUACAAGUCACCACCACCACCUCCUCAUCCGGUACCACACCCAGUUUACCACUACAAGUCACCACCACCUCCUCACCCAGUUUACAAAUACGAGUCUCCACCACCACCAGUUUAUAAGUACAAGUCACCACCACCUCCUCCACCAGUUUACAAGUAUAAAUCUCCUCCACCACCACCACCAGUUUACCACUACAAGUCUCCACCACCUCCUCCCCCAGUUUACAAAUACAAGUCUCCACCACCUCCUCACCACUACUAAGCAAUUGCUUCUGAGGUAAUAACACUUGUUCAAUAUACCCACUUCUGCAUGAUAAAGCAUAUCUCUAUCAACACAAACUGUCAUGUCUAUCAUGCUAAGUGCCUUCACUUCAUCCACCAAAAUGACUGCUAGAAAAUUUUUUUUAUGUUACCAAAGAAAGGCAUCAUUUUUUCCCUCUGUUAUCAAGAACUUGUACAGUAUAUAGAUUAAAGAGUAUUUUUUUAACUAGCUUAUCAACUGAGAAAUGCAUAUAGCUGAUAGCCAGCUGAAUAUUUGCAGGCAAAGGAGAAGGAAACCAUGUUUGAGACCUUCUUGAAGAUGUAGAAGCAUAAGAAUAAAAGCCCAAUGUGAAGAUGAUGAUUUCAAGUUUUUCUACGUUACCAUUUCUUUAUCUAAAUUGGUUGUAGCGCCCAAGUUCCUUUGUUUAUGGGAUUUGUAUCGUUUUACGUACCAUGCAGUACAUGUCAUGUUUGUAAGGUUUUCUAUCCUGCCGGCAAACCGCAGGUUCCAUGUGAUAAAUGAAUACUAUUUAUGUUACGACACUUUUCUCUGUUUCUCUUAUAUUUUGUCUUUAAUAUUCUUAAUCAUAUUUUUAACAAAAAUAUUCAAACACUUAGGCAAUCUGGUCUAAUGCUAAUUGUAUGUUUUACUUUUCUUUUUCACCUGCUCCCCUUUUCAACUCAAAAGGAUGCAAUAGUUUGUGAUCACUGUUUAAGACGGAAGCAUGAUACUAAUGAAUAUCUCAUUGAAACUCAAGGAAACUAACAUUGCGAAAAGUGUAAAUCUUGAUUUGAUGCAACUAUUUAUUCGUGGAAUCUAUAGUUACAAAACUCAAAUUCUGACUGCGCCAUUGAUAAAUUAUUAAUGACGCUAUCAUCAUUAUUUAUCCCUAACUAGUUUCGACUACAACUGAACCCAAUAUUUUCCCCAUGAUAAAAGUUUUUGACUAUUUUACUGGCCUCUCUUCAAAUUUUAAAAAUUACACUAAUCUUCAUUGAGAUUAAUUAUCUUGUAACAUUUAAGUCCAAUUAAUAAUUAAAAAAUGAUAUUAUGAGAGAGAAAAUAAUAUAAUUUUAUCAUUGCCCCCCAUCUUGCUAUAUUAUUUAAUUAAUUUAAUAGCAACCCACACAUUAAAGAAAAAUACUAAAAUUUGCUGCUUUUCAUUAAAGAUCAAAUUGCAUAUGCCAUAAAACAUAGUAUAUCAUUCUAUAUGUUUCACUUAAUGUAAGAUCCCAAUUGUUCUUUUCAAUUACAAACCCAUUGUCAAACAUGAUCAAUAACAAAUAAUCAAAAAAUUUGCAACCAAAAUAUUACAAAAAAAAACUUUAACAUCAUAAAUAUUCUUACCACCUCUAGUGCAUUCACCCUCAUAAAAUAAUUCAAGACCCUACUGUCAUAAAAUGACUGAUCAACUCCUGUAAACCUAAUUUGACAACAUUUAAAUGGAGAACUUUAGCUAAAAGAAUUAUGGUCAAGCUAAAGAAAAAACCAGUUAUUUUCCAACAUAUGCAACCAUUGAUCAGGGGAAAAAAAAAAGCAAAAAGACAUCUUCAAUCAUUUAAUAGCUUACAGGGCAAAUUAACCCUUGAGUGAAAACUGGUUGCUCUAGAAUUAAAAUUUUACCUUAGUUACCCAGGCAACUUUUUUGUUGCCUUUUCUUUUUCUUUUUUGGGUAUAUAGCUCCAGUUUUGCCCCCUCUGUCAAGCUUAUAUAAUUAUUAAGAUAAUAAAAGUGCCUUUAAUAGUAUUAAUAUAUCCAUUGACUUGAGCUGUCAUCGAUCGGUUUGGGCUACUUCGAUUCCAUGAGAACAAAUGGUAAUAAAAGUACUCAGAAAAUGGGGAGUCAUGAAACCCUUUUGUUCUAUUCAUUGCUAAGAUGCUUUUCUCUAUAAAGAGACUUCCUAACGAAAAUACUUUGUAGAUUUCUUUACUCCAAGUGGUGCAUGGAAAAUUAAUAUUUUCAAUUAUCAAAUAAAAUUCCCUUUUUUCGGCGUAGAUUUCAUCCAUCCAGCUGUUAACACAUUCUAUAAAUCCGAAUUGACUAAUCUUUUCGUUUCCAUUUUCCAACUUGCGAAUACGGCAUAUAGUGUCUGCUAAACACUAUAUAUUCUCUGCCAAAUAUGAAUACAUAUCACUUUUCUGAGCAAGUGCAGAGUCAUUAUCAUUUUUAUUCCCACCUAACAAAUUAGGGAUAAAAAAGUUAAUAAUCUUUACAUGCUAUCAGGUCACAAGUUAAUAAUCUUUUAAAGAACAUGUUAAAUUAAUUUAUUGGUAUGAAUAGUAGUCAAAGAAGUAUGUUAAAGUUAGUAAUCUUUAAAAUAAUAUGUUAAAAUCAUUCGUACAAAUUAGUCAGAGAAGUAGCAUAAACACCGCGAUGCAAUUAAUACUUUCAAUCUCAAGGUCUCUAUUAUGGAAAUUUGCAUCGGUCAAUAUACACUUGGCAUAAUAUAAUCUCCCAACUCAUUUCUUUACAAAUGCACCUUUAAUCACCACCAAAAGGUGUGGACAUGAUCUUUACCCUAGAAAACUAUUCACCGACAGGCAAAUUGACGUCAGAAAUACUGAGGAAUUCUAGUUUCCUUCGGGUUCAUGCCAUGUUGUAUCCUUCAACUGUAACUCGAUUUCUAAGCUGUAAUUUGUGACAUAAUAGUCCUUAAACUAUGAAACCCUUCUUACUUAAUUACAAUGGUUAAUACAAUGCCCGUGACUAGACAAGUAUGAAGCAACCAUAACAGAAAAAAAAUCCAAAAUUAGAGAAAAGAAAGAAGUUUCGCGACCACCACCAGUUUACAAGUCACCUCCACCACCUCCUCCAGUUUACAAGUCACCUCCACCACCUUACCAUUAUUCCUCACCACCACCUCCAGUGCAUUCACCCCCACCACCACCAGUUUACAAGUCUCCGCCACCACCUUACCAUUAUUCCUCACCACCACCUCCUGUGCAUGCACCUCCACCACCAAUUUACAAGUCACCUCCUCCAGUUUACAAGUCUCCACCACCACCUUACGAUUAUUCCUCACCACCACCUCCAGUGCAUUCACCCCCACCACCACCAAUUUAUAAGUCUCCCCCACCGCCUCCCCCAGUAUAUAAGUCACCACCACCACCUCCUCCAGUAUACAAAUCACCUCCACCACCUCCUCCAGUUGACAAAUCUCCACCACCACCAAUUUAUAAAUACAAGUCUCCUCCACUACCUCCUCCAGUGUACAAGUCAUCACCACCACCUGCUUACAAGUCUCCACCUCCUCCAGUUUACAGUUCCCCACCACCACCAAUCUACAAGUCUCCACCUCCACCCUACCAUUACUACUACAAUUCUCCUCCUCCUCCUCGUCACUACUAAGCAAUUGUAUCCAAGUUUUUGAGGUAAUAACGCUUAACCAAUAAAUUAACUUUCGCAUGAUAAACCUUAUCUCUAUCAAGACAAACUGCCAUGUGUAUCAUGCCAAAUACGUACACCUAGAUCCAUGAAAAUGAAUGGUAGAAAGUUUUCUUAAGAACCAAGAACAGCAUUAGUAUUCCCUCUGCUUCCAAAAACUUGUGUAUUAAAUAGAUUAAUGAAUUGUUUAACAUGCUCAUCUACUUGAAAAUGCACAAUACCCAUAACCCACUGAAAUUUUUGCAGGAAAAGGGAAAGAGAAUCUGUGUUUGAGAGCUUCAUGAAGAUGUUGAAGAAUAAGAAUAAAAGCCCAAUGCAAGGAUGUUUUCAAGUUUUUCUAUGUUUCCACUUUAAUUUGUAAAUUGAAUUUUGCGACUCAAUUAAUUCCCUGUUUGUGAGGUACGUAUUGUUUUACGUACCAUGCCGUACAUUUUUUUUUUCCAACAAACGGUAUCAUGUUAUAGAUAUUAACACUUGACCUUACAAGGAUUAGUUACAAAAAGGGGAUACUACCCUCAACUCUGUCCUAGCUAAAUCAGUCAGCCAUAUUGGGAAAUUAGUUUCCCAUUCAAUAUCAUGUACAAGCUUCACAGCAUAUUGUGCUAAUUGAUGGCUGAUGUGAUUUUCAGUUCUAGGUAUAAACACAAAAGAACAUUUUUCAAAAGCUAGACUAAGUUCCUGCACAUCUUCUAAGAUAGUUGCAGUCGUGUAGUCAUACUCCUUGCGUUUAGUAAUCUGCUCUACCACUGAUUUGCAGUCUGUAUGGACUAUAAUUUGUGUCCAACCUGCUUGGGUAGCCAUCAGCAGAGCAUUUCUCACAGCCCGAGCUUCCACUUCACUUGCCGAUCCCUUUCCCUGUGUGACAAUUCCUUUUGCUUUCAAAAGCUGUCCUUUCCAAUUUCUUGCUAUAAUCCCUUGUCCGGUCCUGACUCGUUUAGCUGAUAUCGCUGCAUCGGUAUACAGCCUUAUCUCUUCCUUCCUUGGCCGCACUCUCCUGGUAGGUAAGGCAUCAUUCAGCUUCCCUGCGAUCUCCUUCUGGUCUGUACUCCCUACCUGUUCAAACUCAAGCCAUUCCUCCUGUGCUUUCCUUACUAUUUUUACUGGAUCCUGGUUGGCUUGUUCAAAAAAUUUUUUGUUCCUGGCUUUCCAAAUUUGCCAAAGGAUAUUGAUAGUAAGACUAACUCUCUCCUGACCUUGGUUCAGUGCCAGCGAUUGUGUGACUUGUUCCCACCAUAACCAAAAGUUAUAUUGCAUACCCAGUAAUCCAUCCCACCUGACCGGUGCUAGCUUCCACGUUUCCACAGCCUUUUCACAGAAGAAAAACAAAUGCUCAAUAGUUUCCAUAUCUUCACCACAGCAACCACAUCUGCCUUCCCCUCUAUGUAGCCUUUUCGACAUCUGUUCAUUGACUGGCAGACAAUUUUGUAAGCACUUCCACAUGAAGUGUUUUAGUUUGGCCUUCACCUUCAAAUGCCAUAGCUGCUUCCACACAUUUCGUUUUCGUAUCUCCCAACUUGUUUCUGCCUCUUGGCCUGUCCUUGUACCUGCUUUUCCUUCCCGUUGCCUUGCUAAAGCAUAACCAGAUUUCACGCUAUAAAUUCCAGCUUUGGAAUGCCCCCAUACCAACCUAUCCUUUCUUCUUCCUAUACUUGUUGGAAUUCCCUUUAUGUGCUCUGCAUCUUUUGCACAAAACCACUUGAGAAGCAAAUCAUUUUUCCAUUUCCCUUCCUCUAUCAGCUCACUUACCCAUUCCAACUUGCAUCCCACAGGUUGUGUGGUUGAUGCAAAGCCGGUAUCUGAACCAACUAUCCAUCUGUCCCGCCACAUGUUGACUGACUUGCCAUCUCCAAUUCUUUUCCAAAGACCAUCAUACAGAAAGGAGGCUGCACUAUGAAUACUCUUCCAACACCAUGAGGCUGAAGAGACUGGCUUCUUGUCCAUCCAUUUUUCAUCACUCAUAUACUUCGCCUUCAUUACCUUACUUACUAACAAAUUUGGAGCCAUUAAGAAUCUCCAAAUUUGUUUUGCCAGUAAUGCUGUGUUGAAGGCCUCCAAAUCUCUAAAGCCUAAACCUCCUCUUCCCUUAACUUCUAAGAGCUUCUUCCAGCUUGCCCAAUGUACACAGGUACCCUUUUCUCCCUUCCCCCACCAGAAACUCGCUAUUUUACCUGUGAUUUGUCUACACAAACCCCUUGGAAGUCUAAAGCAAGCCAUCACAUAUGUUGGCAUAGCCAUAAUCACUGAUUUGACCAGAAUUUCUUUCCCUCCUUGGCUCAACAGUUUUUGUUUCCAACCUUGCAACUUGUUACUAAUUUUGUUCUGGACAAAUGCAAAGACCUGUGUCUUUGAUCUUCCAAUUGCCAUUGGGAGUCCUAGGUAGGUUCCAUUCCUUGCCUCUUUAAUGUUAUCUAAUACCUCCCUCACUCCAUUCUUCCUUUGAUCAGUGGUAUUUUUGCUAUAGAAGAUAGCUGACUUUUCAAAAUUCACCACCUGUCCGGAUGCUUGACCAUAUCUUUCCAAUAUGCUUUUGACCUUCCUCGCCUCCUGCUUGGUUGCUUGGCAGCAUAGUAGAGAAUCAUCUGCAAAAAAUAGGUGAGAAACCAUCGGACUGUCCUUGCAUAUUUUGAUCCCUGUAAUUUCCUUGUUCAUCAUAGCUUUAUGGAUCAAACAUGAAAGACCUUCAGCGCAUAUAAUAAACAAGUACGGGGAUAGGGGGUCUCCUUGUCUAAGCCCUCUACUCGGUUGAACACAGCCUACCUUUUGCCCAUUUAAGUUGAAGGAGUAAGUCACAGUAGAUAGGCAAGACAUGAUCCAUUUAACAAAAAUUGGACAAAACCCCAUUUUCAUCAUAACUCUCCCCACAUAUUUCCAUUCGACUCUAUCGUAAGCUUUGGACAUGUCCAGUUUAAGAGCCAUAAAUCCUACCCUUCCCUUUCUCCUAUUUUUCAAAAAAUGCAGGAUUUCAUGUGCAACUACUACAUUAUCAAGAAUUUGACGGCCUGGGAUAAAAGCGGAUUGAGAGGGACUAAUACAAUGAUGCAAGACACCUUUCAAUCUAUUAGCUAUGAUUUUAGAAAUGAUUUUAUACAGGACAUUGCACAAGCUAAUAGGUCUAAAAUGCACCACAGAUUCAGGAGUAUCAACUUUAGGAAUCAACGAAAUAAUAGUAUCAUUCACAGCUUUGAGCAAAUGCCCAGUAUGAAAGAAACUCUUAAUAGCUGCUACCACAUCAUCCUUGAUAAUAUCCCAAUAGUGUUGAAAAAAUAGAGGAGACAUACCAUCCGUUCCUGGUGCUUUAUUAGGGUGCAUCGAGAACAAAGCUUUCCUGAUCUCACUUUCCUCCACUUGUCGUAUCAGUUGUCCAUUCAUAUGACUCGAAAUAGUGCUUGGAAUUUCAGCUAGAAUGUCCUCAAAGCAGUCCGGGUUAGUAGUGGUAAAAAGGUCUUUAUAGUACUCACAAAGUUCCUCCUCAAUCUCAUGUUCCUCCUUGCACCAUGUCCCAUCUUUUUUCUGCAAUAUAGUGAUCUUAUUUCUCCUCCUCUUUGCCAUGACCGAAGAAUGGAAAAAAGCUGUAUUCUUGUCCCCUUCUUUGAGCCACUUGUUCCUGGAUUUUUGACUCCAAAACAUCUCUUCCUCUGCAUAAGCUUUAUUCAAUUGUGCUUUUAGUUCAGCCACUUGUACUCUUUUCCCUUCAUCCUUUCUUGCUUUCACUUCAGCCAAUUUCUCCUUUAACACUUUAAUUCUAACCUUUGAGUUUCCCUGCACCUUUUUCCUCCAAUCCAGAAUAGCCAUGCGACAUUCCUUUAUUUUUGUAGCCACUCUAAACAUCCUGGACCCUGACUUCACCUUUGUCCAUGCUCCUUGAAUCACCCUUUUUGCUUCUGGAUUUAGCGUCCAUCGUUGAUCAAAGUAAAAUCUCCGUUUUCUCCUUGUGUUUUCCGGGUUUGUAUCCACAAGAAGCAUUAGAUGAUCAGAGGCUUCAGUAUCUAAAUGAGUACACUGUGCCUUUUCAAAUCUUUGCAGCCAUUCGGUGCUGCAUAAACAUCUAUCCAACCUCUCUUUCACUUCCCCAUCCCCCUCCCAACUAUUGCACCAAAUCCACGGGACCCCUUGAUAACCUAAGUCAACCAGGUUAUUGUCUUUGAUAAACCUGUUGAACUCCCUAAAACAUCUUUCAGCUCUAUCCCUUCCUCCCCACUUCUCCUCACUAGACCUCAAAUCAUUAAAAUCUCCUACAAUGAUCCAGCCAUCCCCCCAGUCCCUCAUCCUGUCCUCUAAAUAUUUCCAUUGUGCUUUUCUAAUGUUACUAUCUGUGCUUGCAUAAACACACACUAGCCCCCAGUAUCCUUUAGUAUCCUUGUCCUCAACUCUAGCACUAAUACACCAAUCAGUACUUACAAUCUGGUCUAAAAUCACCUCAUUGUUCCAGAAUAAUGCUAGACCGCCUGCUUUACCUAUUGAAUUCACAAAAAAGCUAUUGUCAUACUGAAUCUUCCUUUGAACCUUGCCCAUAAACCCUUCCUGAUUCUUAGUUUCACAAAGGAACACCACCUUAGGAGAGUGGAAGUUAGUCACUUCCUUUAGUUGGGGACUUGUCAAGGGGCCUCCUACACCUCGACAAUUCCACACCACAACCUUCAUUUACACUUUGGAGGCUUUCCGGGGCUAGCCUCCAUUUCCCCUAUUGUACUAACAUUUAUUAGAUCCAGUUUCAUAACCUUUACCUUCGGUACAUUAUCAUCAUCCUCCUCUAUCGGUUGUGUUCCCUGAAACAUACCAUCAGCCUUCCUUUUAGCACACGAAACCUGCGUUACUUGUCCAUUUGUAUCUGCCUUUAAGGAUGUUUUAGCCGGCCUCCCUCUUCUUUUAAAACUGCUUCUUUUUUCAGCUUUGUUAUCUUCUUCCCCUGGAGUAGCCUCCUUUCUUGGCAUUCUUGCAUUUGUCUCCUCCUGCUUUAUUGACCCUACCCGCAAACUUUCACAUUCCUGUUUUGAGCUGUCCGUUUCCAUAUCCUCAUAAUCUACUGGUGGGAUUACGCUGCUCCCUCCUUUACUCCCUUCCUGUACCCUACCCUCCUUUUCACCAUUUCCCUCCAUUAAGACCACAGCCAAACUUUCCACCCGUUGGUUUGCCUUUCCAUACUGCCUGCUGUCUUUUAGAAUCUCAUCCCACCUCUCUUCAUAUUGUCUCGUCAUCAUUUUCUCCUUAUCCCCCCUUUCCUUUCCCCCCAAGACUCUACCAUUUUUUCCCCCAAGAGUUAAUGUAUCUCCAGCCAUUUGUACUCCAGUUUGAACUUCACUACUAGGAGACCCUGCCCCCACCCUCCUUGCAUCAAUUUCACUUACUCCUUCCAGCCGUCCCUUUAAGGGAGAUACCAUUAUAUUUCCAGCUCUCAUCCAGGCACCAUAUUGUUCCUCUCGCUUCUCCCCCCCACCCUUCCUACCACAGUACAAGUCCUAUCACUAUGCCCAAUGAUACCACACCUAUAACAGAAAUCAGGGCAGCGUUCAUACCUGAACUCAACCCACACUGCCUGGUUCUUACAGUUGAUCUUUGUCCCUCUAACCAGUGGUUUCGUUAUAUCUACCUCAGCCAUAAUCUUCAUGUGGCGACCCUCUUUCCCACCACUUCCUGGGAGAAUCACUCCCCUCACUGAUUUAAAGAUCCCUCCUAUUUUCAAACCCACUGCUCUGCUCAACCAGUGCACCGGUAGGUUCCAUAGUUGAAUCCAAAGAAAGGAAUGCUGGAAAAAGCUGCUGUUUGUAUCAUACCCCUCUACCCACUCCUUCACUAUCAGCAACUGGUUGUCCAUGACCCAAGGCCCUCCAGAUAAGAUCUUUUUCUUUUCCCCUUCAUCUCCCAGAUGGAAAUGGAAUAAGUUAGGACCUAACUCAGUCACUUUCAUCUUUGAGGGGUAUCCCCAUGCAUGAUUUGUAAAGUUCUUUAACCCCGUAAAGUUGGCAAUUUUUUCACCAAUCAGCUUUCCUACCAGGCUUCCUUGACACUCAGAGACGCCUUCUUCCAGGUCCUCACCACUCAGAUCGACACCUCCUAACUCUGUUUCAGACAAGUCAAAAUUUUGAAAGGCUCUUUCUAAAGCAUCCGCCAUUGCUGUGACGAGAGCUCCUUGAGAAACCAAGCACUAUUUCUGAGCUAUGAGUGACCCACUGACAGACCUGUGAAGAAUUGCAAAGACAGACAAAGCUGUGUUAUCCGUACACACUAAAAACCAACCAGAAAAACAGAGAGGAACUCGACAGAAAAAGCACAGGCACAAGAAGAAACGAAAGAAAAAAGAAAAACCAACAAACCACUAUCCCACUCCCGACCACAUAACAGCAUUAAAGAAAGGGACACAAAUACGACACUCCAACUUCCGAUCACAUGCUCUGACUCAAUGGAUCAUAUCUUGCCCAAAGCGUUUACUCCUCCAACCGAUUCCAAACCACUACAGACAUUGUCUCCCAUUUUGAAGCCGGAAGAAAGGUGGCUUCUGGACAGGGAACAUGAAAGCAAAGGUUGAACUAAAGAUUUGAUUUUAGAUCUGAAAAUUACGCUGUAGGAAAAAGUGCUAUGUGUUUGUACCUCACCCACUCUCCCACACCGAGGAGGGGAACCUCUAAAGUUAGAGAGAGAAGCUCUCAAGUUAGAGAGAAGCUUUGGAAGUUAAUUACCAACGUACCAUGCCGUACAUGUUUGUAAGGAUUUCUAUCCUAUUGGCAAAAGUCGGUUCCAUACAAUUAAUCAAUUCAUUUCACUUCUAUUGGCUCUACUAUUUAUGCAUGUUACGACACUCUUUCCCUUAUAUUUUGCCUUUAAUAUUAUGAGUCAAUAGUAAUAAUGGGCCUUUUUCUUAAAAUUAUACUAUUAUACAUAGGUAGUUUGGUCUAACGCUAAAUUCAUGUUUGUCUUUCUUUUAUUCCCUUUACAUCUCAAAGUAUACUAUAGUUUGUAAUCAUUGUGGUGAUGAUAUUACCAGCUGGUACUUAUAGUUUAAGGCAGAGACAUGAUAUUAACAACUAUCUCAUUGAAACAUAAGUCAAAAUCAUGACAAGUGUGAGUCUUGGUUAAUGCACAAUUUGUUAGUGGAAUUUAUAUUUAUAAAACUCAAAAAAAAUUUUUGACAAUGCUAUUACUAAUUAAUUAAGGACUUCAUUGCUAUAAUUUAUCGCUUACUAAUUUAAACUAUAAAUGAUCUCAAUACUUUUCUCCAUGAUGUCGAUUUCUUUAGACUACGAAAGGGAAAAAUUAGUGACAUAUCCCUUACUGAUUACAACAUCAGCAAAAAUUAGUUAUAAACUUUUCCGGUGGUUUUAAAUCCCUCGGGCACUAAGGUUUUUUGCACAUCGAGUGAAUUAAGGAACAUAGGCAAUUCGUUCUGCAUACCAAGUCCUUGUUUAAGAUGCACGUACUAAAAUGCAUCCACUUCAUUAAUUUGGAAAAUUGCCAUAGUUUUUUUUAAGCAUUUUGAUUUUUUACAUGAUUCAAAAUUUUCUUAUUGGAUACAAUCACUUUGUGUCAAGAACACAUUUUCAAUCAUCUUUUUUAUCUUCUCAAUAAGAAAAUAAAAAUUUAUUCAUGCUUUUCUAACAUAUCCAAUCAUUGAUCUGAAAAAUAAAGAAUUAAAAAAAAAAGACAUUUUCAAUCAUUGCUUACGGGGCAACUUCCCCAUGUGAACCUCAUCAAACAAAGCCAAUAAUAUGAAGGAACAUCUAAAUACACUUUUGCCCUAAAGGCUGGUUGCCUUGGGGUCAAAAUUUAACCUUCGGGAGUAUAAUUACCCGCCAAAUUUAUUAUUUUUUUUAUGGGUAUAUAGUUCCAAUUUUGCCUCCUGUUAAGCUUAUAAAUAUAUUACGACCCAGAAAAUAAAGGAAUCUUGAAUAGUAACAUGUCCAUUGACUUGAGUUGUUAUCAAUUUGGCUACUUCGAUUCCAUGAGGCCAAUCCAAUUCACACUAGCUAGAGAAAAUGGUGAUAAAGGCACUUAGAAAUUUAUAUGUAAUAUUGAUUGGUAGUAACUGAUAAGUAUAUAUUUUACGUGUUUUAAAUAUGUUUUAUUAGUUAGUUUUGGUGUGUUUUAACUACUUUUAUAACUAAUUAACUAGGAAUCUAGUGAAAAUAUGCAUUUUGUGGUUUGAAGUGUAAAAAUUGUAUUUCUAUGGAUUUUAAUGGUGAAAACUUCAUGUUUUUGUAGGUUUAAUGAUUCAAUCAUCAAAUGACAUGAUUUGAGAAGAUAAUUAGAUGAUUGAUGAUGUUUUGAAGUGAUAAAAAGAGAAUACAAAGUGCAAGAGAGGAAAUGCAAUCAAGAAUAAAAGAAGAAAAUUUUUGUAGCUUUGACAUAUUGUCGUAUUUCGGCAAUAUAUUGAGCUACAAUGAUCGGAUUAAGGUGAUUCUUAAACCAUUUGAAGCUAAAAUAUAGAUCUACAUUUGGCAUGAAGGCAUCGAAACCCAUGUCAGUCAUUUUCCUUGUCAAAAUGUUGAAAUACAGAAGUGCAACUCUGUUCUCGAAAGCUAAAACAGAGCUCUGGCUAGUCGAGGGUAUUUUCAUCAUUUCUUAGUCCACAGAGCUCCAAAUGAGAUGAUUCUUAAGGCAUUAGAACCCUAACUCAAAGAGCUACAACUUUCAUAUUUUGUACAAGAGUUAGUUCGGCCUCUAUCAUUAAGAAAAUAGUAGUUGAAGUGGUGCCAAAUGCAUAGAAGUGAAAACGCGAGCUAUCAAUACUCGACCUGAAGUCGCGUAUUCCUGAGGUCAUGCAUUCUCUUCUAUUUUCUGCAACUUGCCCUGCUUUCACAUAACUUUUUCAUCUCAAUUCCAACUAUCAAUUUCGGCUAUAUCUGAUCAAGAAAAGUGUGGAAAGUUUGAAAGACAACUCAUAGGAGUUUCAAGAGUCAAAAAUUACAAUUAGAAACAACUCAUUUGGCUCUUGAAUCCUCUAUAAAUAGAGGCCUUUGAAGAACAUUUUCACAACUUUGGAAGGUUAGAGAAACUCCACAAAAACAUAGUCUUCACUAGAAUUUCCUUAGUUCAUUAGUUAGGGUAGUAUAGUAUAGUUAGUGUAGCUUUUCCUUCUUGUAUUUAUAGUUAGGUUUGAAUGAAGAUUCAGGAGCAAAGAUAGAGAGGUUGAUCUCAUGUGACAAGGGUGAUAUCUCUUCUACUACUUUCUCUUUUGUAUUUGAUUUCAUAUUUAACUAUACUACAAAUUUGGCUUUGUUUUUUUUUUUUUAUCAUGUUUAGUUAAAGUUUAUGCCUAGAGUAUGGAUGACCUUUUUAUAUCUUGUUUGUGAUAUUUAACUGGUUAUUUGAUGAUGUUAUUUUUGAGCAAGUUAUUUAUCACUUUUGCUUUUCUAAUCAUGAUUAACUGGCCAUUAGUUGUGAUUAUCUAAAAGUGUUAAGUUUGUAAUGAGAAUUGGAGUUUAACACUAGUUCAAGGAAGUGAUAAAUUUAGGGAGUUCACUCAUGAGAGUAGAGGAACACCUUUGUGACCUAAGUGACUUGUUUCAUAUAAUUUCAUAGAAAAAAUGAACUUGUAAUUAAUUUCAUAACCACGAGAGUAAGUAUGGUUUAGCUAUAUGUAUAGUUGAUUCACUACGAGAGUAGGUUUCACAUACAUUAGAAAAUUACAUCAUAACUAGUCAAGAUAAUAUCAUUCAUUUAAUCAGUAAUCUCAUUUGCAUGAGUAGUAAGGCAUUCCAUAUCUCUAGGAGGUUUUUAGUAUUAUUUUCAUUACUUUUAUGUUUAUGGUAGUCUAGAUAAUAAUGGAGUUCGAAAACUACUAGUAAUUGAAAAUUUUCCCUGUGGGAUCGACCUUUAAUACCCUAUACUCGCUCUCGACUCGUAUACUUGAGAAAAAUCACGUGUGCGGUAUUUAGAAUUUAUAAAUGUAAAACUUGACUGUAGAUGAACUAAUUGAUAUAUGUAUACCCCGCACUCGUCAGUAACCAGCUUGUAUUGAUCCCACUAUUGUGGAUAAUUGUGCUCUUAUGAAAAAAAAUUAUAAAAAAAUUAGCAAAAUUUAUGAUAACAAAUUAAAUUUAUUCAUACAAAUCAGUGAAAGAAGUAGAAUUUUAAAGUCCAUGAUGAAAUUAAUACUUUCAAGGGCUCUAUUAGGAAGACUUCACUUGUUGGUGAAACUACACUAGCACAGUUAUAUGCACAUUUACUGUUUUGGUAUCUAAUUUCCUUGCCUUAAGUUGGGUGCAGAUGUUUAUAUUACAAAUAGAUGGUAUCAUAAAAUUGUUGUAUUCACGUUUGUUCUUUUUUUUCUUCCUUAAGUUUUUUUCUUUAUUCUCGUGACUUCAAAAAUACGAACUCAAGAAAUUGGCUGCUUAAUCAAUAUGUCAUACAGGCUUCGCUAGUGAGGUAUAACUUCACAACUAGAGUCAAUAGAAAUUAUCAAAUGAUUUUUUAACAUCCAAAUUAAGCAAUAAAUUUUGUUUUCAUUUUAUGACAUAUAAUAGUACUACUUCAUGAGAGAUUUUAUAGUUUCUUUUAGGUAUCAUACCUACAAGUGAUAUUUGUCAUUGGAUAGUGACAGAAGUGUUAAUGAUUGUAAGAUUAAAUAUUGUUAAAUAUUGAAAUUUAAACUAUUUAUCUUUAUUGAAAGAUACAAGUUAAAGAAUCGUUCAAGGGGGCAAUUUUCCAUCUUGUCUUUUUGAAAAAACGCUAUCACAUUGUAUAGGCAUGAUAGGUUCAAAUUUGUCAUUAAAUUUAUGAUUGAUUUUCCUUUUAUUCAAGCCAAAUAUUGUUUUAAUUAUCAAAUUCUACUUAUAUUUGGUUAAUUGUACUAAUUGUAGGGCGGUAGAGCAAAAGUUGCUAAAAAUAGGCGAUUUUCUGCAAAUUGGUUGUCAAGGCUGAAGGAUUUGGGAUUCGCAUGUUCAAGGCCUGUUUCCAAGUUUGAUUCAAACUCUGGACAGUUUUAGAGGAAGAUUUGGAAGAUUUGAAAUUUCAUUAUUAGUUUUAUGGUUGAAUUAGGAAUCUUGGAAUAAUUUCUUUUGUGAUUUAUUUUUCUAUUUAGGAGACUAGUUGUUAUUUAGUAGUAGACUUCAAUUAGAAAACAAAGAGAAAAAGAAGGCCGGAAUCCCGCUUGAUUAAUACCUUGGCCAGGGAACAAUCUCGGUGGGGAGGACGGCCACUUAGCCUCUCAAUUCAUCUUGCUUUUCGUUAGUUUGAGAGGAAAACCAAUUGCAACUAGAUUCAAUGGAGUCUGGCAGAAUUUCUUCUAGGAUGCGUAGCUAAAUCCUCAAUUUUUAGUCGAAGGUCAAUUUGAAAAUUCGGUUCCAAAUAUCUGUGAAAUCGAAUUAUUUUACUUAUUUCUUUUAUUUAUUGGUAUUCGCACGUUUUCUGAUUUAACUUUUUAUGAUUGUUUUGUUAUUUGAAUGUCAAGGGUCCGAUAUUCGAAUUAACUUAAUAAUCUACUGCCAAAUUAACCGGUUAAAUCCGUAAUUGUUUGAUUGAUUAAUAUCAGUGGCGACUAGCGUGAUUGGUCCCAUGUUAGGAAAACGUCUGAUCUAAUUUAAACAAACCGUCGUAGCGUGUUUGUUGAUUAGGGUUGGGCUUUUCUAAUUCUUAAUUCAAUUGAGAAAUUAAAUCCCCCGGUCGUACCUAGGAUUAUUUUUUUGUUAGCGAAAUAGUUAAUGGUCGUACCUUGACUAUCGAAAAAGUAAGGAAGAGUUGAUUGUUUAUCGCGUGUACGACAACUAUAAUCAAUCUAUUAAUGAGUAAUUGAAUUAUCUUUGCAUCAGUAAUCAGUUGAAUGGACCGUGUCUGAAAAGUUGUACCUUUGGCUAGAGUCUUAUCUGUUGUUGAUUCAUUCAUAUCUAUCUUCAUGCGUUGUUUUAAUUUAGUUAAUUAGUUAUUUUUAUAAAAACCCCUCAUCUCUGGACUCUAAAAGAAAUAAAUUAUUUCUAGUUCCUGUGGAUUCGAUCCUACUCACCAUACAAUCCAACCUGCAAUUGUAUGAACCCCAAUCUCGCUUCCUAGUCCACCAUUUUUCUCUAGGUAAUAAUCUCCCUUCUAAUUUCUUCACAAAAUGCACCUUUCAUCACCUCCAAUAGCGUCGACAUGAUCUUUACCCCAGAAGACUAUUCACCGACUCUCAAUUGACGUUAGAAAAUCUAAGAGUAAUUCUACUUUACCCUAAGAUUGAUAUCAACAAGACAAGGACAAUUUAGAAUUAUUACACGCCUCUUCUUAAUAGGAAAAAGAAAUAGAGAAGAAAGUCAGGCCAGGUCUAAUUUCUUUUCAAAGGCAAUACAACAUUACGAAAUCAAGCAUUCAUUCAUACAAAUAUUUCAUAGUCACCGGUUUGCUGAGUAGAAAAAUUUAGACAAAAACUUAAUAUUAUAUUGUUUAAGAGUUAACAAUUUAGAGCUUAAUCUCCUUGUACUUUGGAGUUAACAAUUUAGAGCUUAAUCUCCUUGUACUUUGGACUAAACUUGAACGUGAAAGGAAAUCCCAAAACCAUAUUGGGCAUGAAUUCACACUUAAUAUACCCAAUAAAAGAUGGCGACUGGUGAAAGGCAGUGGAGACUGGUGGAGAGAUUUGAGGAAUAGAAGCAGACGGAAAAGCAACAAAUUUUUGCCGAAAAACGGUCACUUUCAUGGUUAAUUUUGCUACUCUCCAAUUGUACUUGACCAAUUACAACAAUUUCAUGGAGUUUGAUACGUGAAAAGAAUUUUUUAUAAAUUUUAUUUUGAUCCAUAAUGUUAUCUUUACAUAUAUAAAACAUUUUACAAUUUUGAUUUUGGCGCAGUUAACUUUUGGUAAACAAAAAUGCUCAUGUUUAAAAAACCGGAAAUAAAACAAAACAAGAAACAAAAGAAAUAAGAGGGUAGCAUAGACAUUUUGGAUUUUUCCGUUAAUUUGGAUGAUUUCCACCCACGUUCUAAUUUAAUCCAAAACACAAAGGAAUUACGUAGAGGUUUUAAAUAAUGAGGGAGCUUCAUGAUCGAACCCCAAACCACAAGGCGAUUUACUAUAUUUUACUCUUAAAUUUUGGUUUCAUCUCAUAGCAUACAAGAGUUCUAUUUCACUAUCUGUAGACAAAGACUUUCUAUGGUUGAUGUACCAUAGGAAAAAAUCUGCCUAUACAACGUGAUAGCAUUUUUUCAAAAACACAAGAUGGAAAAUUGCCCCCUUAAACGGGGAAAUUCAUGAUCUUUCCUCGAACAAAGAAUACUCACGCCUAUUCAAGAUGGAAAAUUGCCCCCUUAAACGUCUAUUUGUCAAUUCUUGAAAAAAGAAUACUCACGCCUAAAACACGGCCUCUUCAUCUGCAGAAUUCUAAAAAGUUAGGUAAACUCUAUAAACAAGUUGAUAGGUACAAUCGUACCCAAGAUCAAGUACAGAUAGUUGUACAUUCACUGCUGCAAUAACUAAUCUGAUGACUUACAAACAUAUCAUGGUCAAUCGUUGAAUGGUAAUGAGUCUUUUGUUAUGCAUUAGUAUUAGUGUGUACACUCUAAUAGAUUGAUACUUAUACUCUUUAAAUUAUCAUAAUAAUACCCUUAAUUAACUUUAACUCUUAAAAAGAAUACGUGUUAAUACACGAGAGUGUGUAACCUGAAUUGUUACUUAUACAUUAGUGUGUAAUAGAUAGGGAUGGCAAUGGGGGCGGGUGCCCGCAGGCAACCGCCCCGCGGGGGGCUCUCGGGGCGGGGAGGGGGGAAUUUUUUCCCCCCGUUUAGAAACGGGGCAGGGGACGGGGGAGUAUACCCCCGCCCCAUCCCCCGCAAAAAAAAUUAUAUAUAUAUAAUUAUAUAUAAUAUGUAAUUUAAUUAGUUAUAAACUUAUGAUAAUGAUAUUAUUAGUUAGAUGUAUUAUAUAAUGUAUAUUAGUGUAUGUAAUAUAAUUAAUAUUAUCAAUUAUACGAAUAAUUAGACAUGUCUACUAAUAGAAUUUAUUAAUUAGUUAUACUAAAUUUACUAAUACAUUUAUACUAAAUUUCUAAUUACAUUUAAUAGAAUAACACUUUUUUCUAAAAAAAAAAGCACAAACACAAUAAUGAAUUAGUGAUUGUAUUUUUACCAAAAAUGAAAACUUAACUAUUUUAGUUGCAUUUAUUUCAUCAUGUUGGAUUGUAUUCAAAUAAUUUUUGUUUGAUUGUUUUUAUGAGUUUCAAUUGUAAAAUUAAAAUGAAUAAUAACUUGAUGAAUAAUAAUGUCAAUCGUUGAAUGGUGUGUACACUCUAAUAUUAUGCAUUAGUAUUAGUGUGUACACUCUAAUAGAUUGAUACUUAUACUCUUUAAAUUAUCAUAAUAAUACCCUUAAUUAACUUUAACUCUUAAAAAGAAUACGUGUUAAUAACUCUUAACCUGAAUUGUUACUUAUACAUUAGUGUGAAAUAGAACGGCAAGCAUUGAGCAACUUAUAGGAGAAAUAGUCCUAUAAGCUGUUGGAUGACUAAUAUAGCUCUAGCUGUAAUGUUUUAAUUAAAUUACAUCACUAACGUUGGGAUGACUAAUGGUUUAAAAAUAAUUGAGUAAUUGGAAAAAAAAAAAGAGACUAAUUUUCAUUGAAACCCACCGACAAACUAAACGUGUCCAUGGCUUUUGAAUAGUGCAUUCAACGUUUAAUUGUAUAGUCCAGUUCAUUGCAGAUUACAUGGAGUAAAGAUUGUGCUCUUUCCUUUUUCACCCCUUUUGGAAUCGAUACUGUGGAGAAUUGGGUUUUUCCCUUCUUUUUUUCUUUUCUUUCUUUCUGUGCUUUGCAAAACAUAGGUAAAAUUAUGAAAUCCGAAGCAUUCUUUAAUUGGGAUUAAGUAUUGUUCUUGAAAUUAAAAAGAAGAAAGAAAGAACAACAAAAUUCCCUGAUUGGUUGCAUCGUGCUUCCAUAGAAGCUCUCUUAGUGUGAUACACUGCUUUCAAUCAGUUUAACAUGGAAAAAAGAAAGAGAUGAAAAGCAAAUUUGGUGGGGAUAAUUUCAGAAACCUCCCCUGAAGAUUUUGACUAUUCUACUGGUCUCCCUUCAGAUUUUAAAAAUUACACUAAUCUUCCUUGAAGUUAUAACAUUUAAAUUCAAUCAAUAAUUUAAAAAAUGAUAUUAUGAAAGAGAAAAUAAUAUGAUUUUAUCAUUGCCCCCCAUCUUACUACAUUAUUUAAUUAAUUUAAUAGCAACCCACACAUUAAAGAAAAAUAUAAAAUUUGUUAUUUAUCAUUAAAGAUCAAAUCGCUUAUAACAUCAAAUAAUAGUAUAUUAUUUAUAUUUUUCACUUAACAUAAUAUCCAAAUUACUCUUUUCAAUUACAUACUCAUUGUUAGACAAUCAACAACAAAUAACCAAAAAAUUUGCAACCAAAAUAUUACAAAAAAAAAUAAACUUUAACAUCAUAAAUAUUCUUAUCAACAUAUUAAAGUUAGUUACUGAAAUUUUUAUGGUGUUAAACUUCACUCUUUGUAAUAUUUUGGUUACAGAUUUUUUUUGAUUAUUUUUUAUUAAUUAUGUUUGAUGAUGGGUUUGUAAUUGAAAAGAAUAAUUUAAAACUUACAUUAAGUGAAAUAUAUAGAGUGAUAUACUAUUUUUUAUAACAUAUGUGAUUCAAUCCUUCUUGAUAGGAUUGGUAAUAGAGGUAGAGGGGGGAGUCGGCUGCAUCCGGUCUUCUUUUCAUAGAUAGUACAAUAUUGCGAAAUCAAUCGCAUUCACACAAUAAUAUUUCGAAGUCAAUGCAUGGCUAAGUUGCAUAAAAGUACGAACACUUGUUAUUAUAUAGCUUAAGAUUCAAAACUUUAGAGCAUAACCCUCCACCUAACACAAUUGAAUAAUGAAUAUUCACGUUUGUCAAAUCUGUCAAAGCACAGUUUGAGGACAACCCAUUCCAACCUGCAAAAGAUUUUUUACUUUUCUAAAGUUGUUGAGAGCUGUAAAAAGACCUACCAUGCUUACAUCCUCCGAGCCUUGGGAGUUAAAAAUGAAGGCACUGAGUGCUAUAAAAAGGGGGCUAGAGGCUGCCUAGAAGCAUAUCAGCCUAAAACAAGAAUUUGUUGUUAUGAUGGGAAGCAAAGCAAAAGCAAUGGGGUCUGGGCUGACUCCUCUUCUUGCCACUGUUUUAGUGGUAUUUGUUGCUCUUGGCUUGCCCUCAGAAACAGCAGCUGAUGAUCACUACAAGUAUUCAUCUCCUCCUCCUCCUUACCACUAUCCCUCACCACCGCCUCCAGUGCAUUUACCUCCACCAGUGUACAAAUACAAGUCCCCACCACCACCUCAUCAUGUUUACAAGUACAAAUCUCCACCACCCCCACCACCACACCCAGUUUACAAGUAUAAGUCACCACCACCACCUCCUCAUCCGGUACCACACCCAGUUUACAAGUAUAAGUCACCACCACCACCUCCUCAUCCGGUAUACAAGUAUAAGUCUCCUCCGCCACCACCACACCCAGUUUACAAGUAUAAGUCACCACCACCACCUCCUCAUCCGGUACCACACCCAGUUUACAAGUAUAAGUCUCCUCCGCCACCAGUUUACAAAUAUAAGUCUCCUCCACCACCACCUCCAGUGUACAAGUACAAGUCUCCACCACCACCAGUUUACAAGUACAAAUCACCACCACCUCCUCCCCCAGUUUACAAAUACAAGUCUCCACCACCACCAGUUUACCACUACAAGUCACCACCACCUCCUCACCCAGUUUACAAGUACAAAUCUCCUCCACCACCAAUUUACCACUACAAGUCACCACCACCUCCUCCCCCAGUUUACAAAUACAAGUCUCCACCUCCUCCUCACCACUACUAAGCAAUUGCUUCUGAGGUAAUAACACUUGUUCAAUAACACUUGAUAGCCAGCUGAAUAUUUGCAGGCAAAGGAGAAGGAAACCAGUGUUUGAGACCUUCUUGAAGAUGUAGAAGCAUAAGAAUUAAAGCCCAAUGUGAAGAUGAUGAUUUCAAGUUUUUCUACGUUACCAUUUCAAUAUCUAAAUUGGUUGUAGCGCCUUAGUUCCUUUGUUUAUGGGAUUUGUAUCGUUUUACGUACCAUGCAGUACAUGUCAUGUUUGUAAGGUUUUCUAUCCUGCCGGCAAACCGCAGGUUCCAUGUAAUAAAUCAAUACUAUUUAUAUUACGACACUUUUCUCUGUUUCUCUUAUAUUUUGUCUUUAAUAUUCUUAAUCAUAUUUUUAACAAAAAUAUUCAAACACUUCAGCAAUGGUUCACCUAGUUGAUCAUCGAAGCAGAGGCAAUUCCAAUUAUUUAUCAAUAAAUAGGAUAUAACUACCAAACAAGCGAUGGCAGUUAACCCCUCCUUACUGUGUCGGUGAUCAAGGUACGCCCGUUAAUCACUGCUCUAAUUGAGAAAUAAUCCUAAGUACGCCCGUAGAAUUUAAUUCCCCAAUUGCCUUACAUAUUAGAGGAGCCCUAUUCUAACCAAAUAACGCACUAUCAGGGUUAUUUUAGAUUAGCCCGCGUAUUCCCCUGACAUAAAUCUAAUCAUGCCAGUUGUCAUUAUUUUGAGGUAAUUAAACAAUUACGGAUUUAACACCUCAAUUGACAAUAGAUUAUUAAAUUAAUUAAUUAUUCGGAUCCAAGACAAUCAAUUAAUUAAACAACCAUAAGCACUACAAUCAGAGAAUAUGCAAAUACCAAUAAAUAAAUAAAAAAUAAAAUUAAAUCGAUCUCACAAUUUUUAGGCGAAUCAGAGCAUCCGUUGUCCCUUGACUAGAGCAAGGAAAUUAGUUCAUAUUUGAUGAACUAAACCCAUACAAAAGGGAAGCGAGAAAUGCAGCCAUUAUCCUUUGAAAUCUGGAAAAUUCAACUUGUCCGAAUAUCGAAUAGAUAGUAAUACUACAAAAGGUAAUUCAUAGCUUCCCUUUCGUCUGACACACAAGAAGAAAAAAAAGGGCUGCUAAUAACUAAAGGAGGAAAAGUCAAAGUCCUAAGCUAUGCUACAAGACGAAAAACUAAAGAAGACAAAAAGGCAGUGCUCAUUCCCUGCAAUCUCAAUUCCUAUUCUAUCUAAGUGCUCUCCAAUGUGCGGCGGCUCCCCUUCCGGAGAGGACGAAGUGGCACCCUUUUUUCCUGCGCAAUUUUCCUAUAUAAAGUAGUGCUCCUUGCAGCGGCUCCUGUGCGAAAAAAUGAAGACUUCGGCCCAAUUUGCCUAACAAGGGCUCACGUUUUGUUGUUCUAAAAAUGUCCCUAGGACAAACUCUAUCAUCUGAACUCUUUUCUUGCCAAAUUAGUACCUGUUAUUAUAUUUUCGUUCUACUCCCUGAAAUAAAUGCAAAAUAUCAAAAGUGAGUAGAAUCUAGCAAUUAAUCCACAUUAGGUCAGGUAAUAGGGAAAAUUAAUAAUAAAAUAAAUGAUAAAAUUGCAAUCUAUCACGGGACCACUGUGGUAAGGUGUGUUUCGCCUAUUAUAAGGAGUUCGGAGAGUUAGACGUGUUGGAGGCGGAGGCGCGGUCACUCCUGCACGCCCUCCAGCUGUGUGCAGAUCGCGAGGUACGGGCGUUGACUGUAGAAUCUGAUUCAAAGGUGCUUGUUCAACUAGUUUGCUCGGAUAUGAGGUCGAAGUGGCCGGUGUGUAUCGUAUUGCGGGAAAUAAGACAUUUGAUCCGGCGGAUGGGUGCAUCCCUUCAUCAUAUAUUCCGUGAGGCCAAUUCGGUGGCGGACGCAUUGGCUUCUCUGCAAUUGGGAGGGCAGCAGUACUACACCUCAGGCGUGGCGCUGCCUUUCAGGCCCAGAGGAGAGGCUCUGCUGGAUCGUCAAGGAGUACCUCGCAUCCGUGAGGCGCUCACUAAGGUUUGAUAGGCUAUGUCCUCCUUUCAAAAAACUUAUUUCAUCUACUCCUUGUAAUCAUUUUUCUUAUCAAUAAAUUGAGGCUUUUUAUUUAAAAAAAAACAUAUAAUUUAAGGCAAAAAUAUGAUCCUAGCGAGUAUCGCACUGAGACAUUAGGAAACAUCAUUAAAAGAGUAUUUCUUGAGUUAGUGCAACUAUUUCUUAGGGGAAUUUAUAGUUACAAAAUUCAAAAAUUUGAGAUUCUAUUACUGAUUAAUUAAGGGCGUUAUCACUAUUUUUCUUAUUAUCACCAUUAUUUACCCCACAUACUAUAAGUUUUUUUAGGGCACAGGAAAAGAGGUGGGCCGAUGUUUAGUUAUGUACAAAAGUUCAAAAUUUGUAGAUAACUUAUCAUGUGCCCUUAGAGCGUAGAAUACAGAAAAAAUAUCUUAAACUAUAACUAAUCCUAAUAUUUUUCUCUAUGAUAAACUAGCUCUUAUCCAUUUCUUUAGAUGAUGAAAGGAAAUAGUUAGUCACCUGUCCUCUAGUGAUUACAACAGCAUCAAAACAAAUUAGCACUCUUUUCCCGUAGUUUAAAAAUCCCUCAGCCACUAAGAUUUUGCAUGUCGAACGAAUUAAGGAACAUAGAAGGUUCGUGCUGCACCACAGUGUCCUUGUUGACGAUGCAAAGACAGAAAUGCAUCCGCGUAUACUUCCUUAAGCAUUUUGAUUACUUUAUGAUUCGAACUUUUCUUGUCUGACAGCUGGACUUAAUUGAAAAACACAAGUAACAAUAUUUCAAAGUUGAUUCGUCAAAGUUUACCCAAUUGGUGAAACUUUCUUCAUAGAGCUGACUUUGUAUUAGGUGACAAUGAUAUGGAAUUGAUGUCCUUCCCUUUUUCCUUUUUUUGUGUUGAAGACGCACAACGUUUUCAAUGGCAAAUUUAUAUGGGCUUUUCACGACAAAAUGUGUUCUGAAAAGUUCAUUCCAGAGGUUAAAAUUUUGUGUGUUAAAAAUUUGCUUCUCAGGACUUUGAUGGGAAAGUCUUGGUGUUUCCAAAAAGUUUAAGCAGGAUGCUUCUGGCUUUCUCUCCAUGUAUUUGUGAGUUAGAUCUAAAAUUAUCAGGGCUCCAGAGAUCUCUUGAAAUCGCAGCAUAUAUUGAAGUCUUUCCAGAAGGAGUCUUUUUUUUUUUUUUUAUGAAUUAUGAUAGAUAAUUAAUCUGACGGUGCAUAUAUAUAUAUAUGUGAUUUGCAGUAGGGUGUUUGACGAAAUGGUUAGGCUUCCUAAGUAAUGAUAGGAAUGCCAUUUGCAAAGAAGGACAGGGGGCUGGUGCUGUCAUAUUUUAUGCGAUUUGAUCCGUUGUUGUAUAAGUUUAAACUUUUGACGUGCAAUUGUGCUAUAAUAUUAUACUAAAUAUAUGUGUGAAAUAUUUUGUCUAUAUACAUCACUUUUAUCAUGAAUACAACAGCUGAGUAUAAUAAUAUAGUAUAAUGUAAUUGUACACCAAAUAAUGUAGCAAAUAUAACAAUUGAUCCGAAUUACACGGAACCAUAACAACAAGAUCACCGCCUCCCAAAUUUUACAAAAUUAGGUUUUUUUUUUUUCUCUUAGAUUAUUGAAAAUUUUCAAAAAUAAUCUACAUAAUUUAAGCUUUUGUCCUACAAAAAUUUGAAGAGAUUUUACAUUACAAGCUUAAGCUUAGAUAUAUUAAACUUUGCCCCCAAGAUUAAUUUUCCGUUUUUAUCUAUGAACCGAUCCAUAUAGCUAGUUAGACUGUAGUCCUCACAUUUGUGGGAUUUAACACCCAAGAUUCUCCUUCUUGGAAUGUAAAAUGUAGAUCUUCUAUGUUAAUAAUUCAAGACCCUACUGUCAUAAACGAAAUGACUGAUCAACUCCUGUAAACCUAAUUUGACAACAUUUAAAUGGAGAACUUUAGCUAAAAGAAUUAUGGUCAAGCUAAAGAAAAAGCCAGUUAUUUUCCAACAUAUGCAAUCAUUGAUCAGGAAAAAAAAAAAAAAGCAAAAAGACAUCUUCAAUCAUUUAAUAGCUCACAGUGCAAAUUAACCCCUAAGCGAAAACUGGUUGCUCUAGAAUCAAAAUUUUACCUUAGUUACCCAGGCAACUUUUUUGUUGCUUUUUUUUUUUUCUUUUCCUUUUUGGGUAUAUAUAUAGCUCCAGUUUUGCCCCCUCUGUCAAGCUUAUAUAAUUAUUAAGAUAAUAAAAGUGCCUUGAAUAGUAUUAAUAUAUCCAUUGACUUGAGCUGUCAUCGAUCGGUUUGGGCUACUUCGAUUCCAUGAGAACAAAUGGUAAUAAAAGUACUCAGAAAAUAGGGAGCCAUGAAACCCUUUUGUUCUAUUCAUUGCUAAGAUGCUUUUCUCUAUAAAGAGACUUCCUAACGAAAGUACUUUGUAGAUUUCUUUACUCCAAGUGGUGCAUGGAAAAUUAAAAUAUUCAAUUAUCAAAUAAAAUUCCCUUUUUUCGGUGUAGAUUUCAUCCAUCCAGCUGUUAACACAUUUUAUGUAUCCGAAUUAUAUAUUCUCUACCAAAUAUUGUAACUUUUCUGAGCAUCUUUACAUUUUUAUUCCCACCUAACAAAUUAGUUGUUGAGCAUCUUUACAUGCUAUCGGAUCACAAGUUAAUAAUCUUUUAAAGAACAUGUUAAAUUAAUUUAUUGGUAUGAAUAGUCAAAGAAGUAUAUUAAAGUUAGUAAUCUUUAAACACCACGAUGCAAUUAAUACUUUCAAGCUCAAGGUCUUUUUUUUUUUUUUUUUUGGUACUGUACUUCCUUGCUUUAUAGUAUGCACGUUUAUUUCUGUGGAUUGCUUAAGCUUAUAUUGUUAAUAAUUGGGCAUUUAACCAUAAAUUAUAAUGAUUAUGAAGUCAUAUAUAUAUAUAUAUAUAUAAGAAAAUUACCACAAUUAUUCAAUUUUUUUUGCAAAUUCAAAUUUUAUUAAUAAGAAAUAGGCAGUAAGCUUUUACAAACGGAAAAAAAAAAUCCUACAACAACUCUAGGACCUUUGAAAGAAAGAAAAAAAAAAGAAAAGAAAAGCUUAAGGACUCUACCUCAUAGAAGCUAAACAAUCCUACAAAUAAACUGCAAAAUAAAUCACAAUAACGCAAAAUUUUUGUCUUUCUUCCGUAUGAAAUGAAACUACGAAGUCAAGAAUUGACUCCUUUAACCGCUAUUGCCAGCGGGCUCCGUCAGCAAGAUACAACUUUGCAAUUUGAUUCAAUAGAAAUCCUCAAAUAGCUAUUUUGACAGGCAAAUUAAGCAUUAAUUUUGGUAUCCCUUCAUAAAAUACAAGAGUACUUUUGAUUAUAUCUAUAGAUCAACUUUCUAGGCUAUUUUGAUGUAUUAUAAGAAAAUCUGCCUCAACAAUUUUGAUAGCAUUUUUCCAAAAGCAGAAGAUGGAAAAUUGCCCAUUUGUACUGGGGAGUUCGUGAUCUUUUCCUCCUUCUAGUCUACUUACAAUUCUUGGAAAAAGGAAUACUCACAUCUCAAACAACUGCCUGUUCAUCUGCAAUGUCCUGCCGAAUUCUAGAAAGUUAGGUGGCAAUGCUAAUUACAUUUCAAAAUUGACUGCUGCGAUGACUAAUUCGAUGGCUUACUACAUGGUCAACGUUUGGAUCCCUUCCUGUCCUUUUUGGAUGCACAUUUUUUUUCUCUAGGCAAUAUAUAAUCUCCCAACUCAUUUCUUUACAAAUGCACCUUUAAUCACCACCAAAAGGUGUGGACAUGAUCUUUACCCUAGAAAACUAAUCACCGACAGGCAAAUUGACGUCAGAAAUACUAAGAGGAAUUCUAGUUUCCUUCGGGUUAAUGCCAUUUUGUACCCUUCAACUGUAACUCGAUUUCUAAACUAUAAUUUGUGACAUUAUAGUCCUUAAACUAUGAAACCCCUCUUACUUAAGUACAAUGGUUAAUACAAUACCCGUGACUAGACAAGCAACCAUAACAAAAAAAAAUCCAAAAUUAGAGAAAAGAAAGAAGUUUCGCGACCAAAGUAUGUAUCAAGGCAUAGUAUAGAAAUAAAAGUGUCCAAAUUAAGAGUUUAGGGAUAAAAGAGAUCAAGAUAUAGUUUAGGGAUUGAUUUGUCUCAAUUAGAGUUUUGAUGUCAACUAAGAAGAGAGAUAUAGUUGAAGGGUAGAAUAUAGAUAUAACAGUUCAAUGAUUGAUAUCAACGAGACAAUGACAACUUUGGAUUAUUACCAACCUCUUCUUGAUGGGAAAAGGAAAUAGAGAAGAAAGUCGGGCCUGGUCUAAGCCUGCUUCGGAGGCAAAACAACAUUAUGAAAUCACCGGCAUUCACACAAAUAUGUCAAAGUCACCGGCAUGCUAAGUUGCAUAAUUUAUACAAACACUGAAUAAUAUAUUGUUCUUAAAAUUUUUGUUUAAGAUUUAACAAUUAGAGCACGGUACACGAAUUAGCAAUAUUAAAUAAUGAAUGUUCACGAUUGAUAAAGUUAUCAAAGUACAGUUUGAGGACAACCCAUUCCAACGUGUACAAGAUGUUUAGCCUUUGAAAAGUUAAUUAGAGAAGGUGACGAGAUUUUACUAGGCUUAAAUCUUCUAGGCCUCGGAAGUAAAAAAUGAAGGCCUUUGAGUGCUAUAAAAAGGGGGCUAGAUGUUGCCUAGAAGCAUAUCAGCCUCAGACCACAUUUUGUAGCAAUGGGGAGCAAAGCAAAAGCAAUGGGGUCUAGGCUGACUCCUCUUCUUACCACCGUUUUAGUGGUAUUUGUUGCUCUUGGCUUGCCUUCAGAAACUGUGGCUGAUUACUACAAGUAUUCAUCUCCUCCUCCUCCUUACCAUUAUUCCUCACCACCACCUCCUGUGCAUUCACCUCCACCACCGCCAAUUUAUAAGUCACCCCCACCACCUUACCACUACUCCUCACCGCCACCUCCAGUGUAUUCAUCUCCACCACCACCUUCGCCAGUUUACAAGUCUCCGCCACCACCUUACCAUUAUUCGUCACCACCGCCUCCGGUGCAUUCACCUCCACCACCACCUGUUUACAAGUCACCUCCACCACCUUCGCCAGUUUACAAGUCUCCGCCACCACCUUACUAUUAUUCGUCACCACCGCCUCCGGUGCAUUCACCUCCACCACCACCGAUUUACGAGUCACCUCCACCACCUCCUCCAGUUUACAAGUCUCCGCCACCACCUUACCAUUAUUCCUCACCACCACCUCCAACGCAUUCACUCCCACCACCAGUUUACAAAUCACCGCCACCACCUCCUCCUAUGUAUAAGUCCCCUCCACCACCUUAUCAUUAUUCCUCACCACCACCUCCAGUGCAUUCACCCCCACUGCCACCAAUUUACAAGUCUCCGCCACCUCCAAUCUACAAGUAUAAGUCACCACCACCUCCUCCCCCAAUUUACAAGUCACCACCACCACCUCCUCCAGUAUAUAAGUCCCUACCCCCACCAGUGUAUAAGUACAAGUCUCCACCACCACCUCCUCCAGUAUACAAAUCACCUCCACCACCUCCUCCAGUUUACAAAUCUCUACCACCACCAAUUUAUAAAUACAAGUCUCCUCCACCACCUCCUCCGGUUUACAAUUCCCCACCACCACCAAUCUACAAGUCUCCACCUCCACCCUCCCAUUACUACUACAAUUCUCCUCCUCCUCCUCCUCAUCACUACUAAGCAAUUGUAUCCAAGUUUUUGAGGUAAUAAUGCUAAACCAAUAUAUUAACUUUCGCAUGAUAAACUUUAUCUCUAUCAAGACAAACUGCCAUGUGCAUCAAGCCAAAUACGUACACUUCGAUCCAUGAAAAUGACAAGUAGAAGGUUUUCUUAAGAACCAAGGAACAGCAUUAGUAUUCCCUCUGUUUCCAAAACUUGUGUAUUAAAUAGAUUAAUGAAUUGUUUAACAUGCUUAUCUACUUGAAAAUGCACAAUACCCAUAACCCACUGAAAUUUUUGCAGGUAAAGGGGAAGAGAAUCUGUGUUUGAGAGCUUCAUGAAGAUGUUGAAGAAUAAGAAUAAAAGCCCAAUGCGAGGAUGUUUUCAAGUUUUUCUAUGUUUCCACUUUAAUUUGUAAAUUGAAUUUUUCGACUUAAUUAAUUCCCUGUUUGUGGGGUACGUAUUGUUUUACGUACCAUGCCGUACAUGUUUGUAAGGAUUUCUAUCCUAUUGGCAAAAGUCGGUUCCAUACAAUUAAUCAAUUCAUUUCACUUCUAUUGGCUCUACUAUUUAUGCACGUUACGACAUUUUUUCUCUCUUUCCCUUAUAUUUUGUCUUUAAUAUUAUUGAGUCAAUAGUAAUACUGGGCCAUUUUUUUUAAAACUUAUACUAGUAUACAUAGGUAGUUUGGUCUAACGCCAAAUUCAUGUUUGUCUUUCUUUUAUUCCCUUUACAUUUCAAAGUAUACUAUAGUUUGUGAUCAUUGUGGUGAUGAUAUUACCAGCUGGUACUUAUAGUUUAAGGCAGAGACAUGAUAUUAACAACUAUCUCAUUGAAACAUAAGGAAAAAUCAUGACAAGUGUGAGUCUUGGUUAAUGCACAAUUUGUUAGUGGAAUUUAUAUUUAUAAAACUCAAAAAAAAAAUUUUGACAAUGCUAUUACUAAUUAAUUAAGGACUUUAUUGCUAUAAUUUAUCGCUUGCUAGUUUAAACUAUAAAUGAUCUCAAUACUUUUCUCCAUGAUGUCGAUUUCUUUAGAUACGAAAGGGAAAAAUUAGUGACAUAUCCCUUACUGAUUACAACAUCAGCAAAAAUUAGUUAUAAACUUUUCCGGUGGUUUUAAAUCCCCGGGCCCUAAGAUUUUUUGCUCAUCGAGUGAAUUAAGGAACAUAGGCAAUUCAUUUUGCAUACCAAGUCCUUGUUUAAGAUGCAAGUACUAAAAUGCAUCCACUUCAUUAAUUUGGGAAAUUGCCAUAGUUUUUUUAAGCAUUUUGAUUUUUUACAUGAUUUAAAAUUUUCUUAUUGGAUACAAUCACUUUGUAUCAAGAACACAUUUUCAAUCACCUUUUUUUAUCUUCUCAAUGAGAAAAUAAAAAUUUAUUCAUGCUUUUCUAACAUAUUCAAUCAUUGAUCUGAAAAUUAAAACAUUAAGAAAAGGACAUUUUCAAACAUUAAGAAGUAGUAUUUUAAAGACCAUGAUGAAAUUAAUACUUUCAAGGUCUCUAUUAGGAAGACUUCCUUUAUUAAUACUCUACUAGGCAGAGUUAUAUGCACGUUUACUGUUUUGGCCUUAAGUUGGGUGCAGAUGCUUAUAUUACAAAUAGAUGGUAUCAAAAAAUUGUUGUAUUCACGUCUGUUCUUUUUUUCUUCCUUAAGUUUUUUUCUUUAUUCUCGUGACUUCGCUAGUGAGGUAUAACUUCACAACUAGAGUCAAUAGAAAUCGUCAAAUGAUUUUUUGACAUCCAAAUUAAGCAAUAAAUUUUGUUUUCAUUUCAUAACAUAUAAUAGUACUACUUCAUGGGAGAUUUUAUAGUUUCUUUAGGGUAUCAUACCUACAAUUGAUAUUUAUCAUUGGAUAGUGAAAGAAGUGUUAAUGUCUCUAAGAUUAAAUAUUGUUAAAUAUUGAAAAUUUGAACUAUUUAUCUCUAUUGAGAGAUACAACUUAAAGAAUCCUACCCAAAAGAGACUAGAAUUUUCUCUGUUUUUCAUCAUCUGUAGACAUAAACUUUCCACGGUUGAUAGCAUUUUUCAUCAUCUAUAAGGAAAUUUUGCCUAUACAAUGUGAUAGCAUUUUUCAAAAAGACAAGAUGGAAAAUUGCCCCCCUUGAACGGAAAAUUGCCCCCUUGUCAAUUCUUUAAAAAAGAAUACCGUCCCGCAGAAUUCUAGAAAGUUAGGCAAAACUAGACAAGUUGACAGGUAUAAUCAGACCCAAGAUCAGGAACAAGCAGUUGCACAUUUCAAAAUUCGCUGCUGCAACAACUAAUUUGAUGACUUACAACACUAAAUGGUCAAACUUUGAAUGGCAAUGAAUCUUUUGUUGUACAUCAUGAUGUAAUUUUCAUGUUACAUAAUAGAUUGAUAUCUAUGUUCUUUAAAUUAUCAUAAUAAUUAAAUUUAACUGAAAAAAAGAACACAUAUCAAUACACAAAAGUGUGCAACGUGAAUGUUAUUUUAGUGUAUUGCAGAAGACCUAUAGUCUCUUCAUAUCUCUUCCUGCACGUAUCAAUUCGUUUCCUCUAGAUAAUAAUCUCCCAACUCAUUUAUUUACAAAUGCACCUUUUAUGUUUUAUUACCUCCAAAAGCCUAAAAAUCAAUUCACCGACUCGCAUUUGGUAUCAGAAAUUCUUAUUACGAAUUCUACUUUACUCAAAGAUUGACUGUUAAUAAUGAGACAACGACCAUUUUGUAUUAUUACACCGUCCUUCUUGAUAGGCAAAAGAAAUAGAGAGGAAAGCGGGUCCGUAUAUGGUCUUUUAUUCAUAGAUAAUACAACAUUACGCCAUCGAGCAUUCACACAAUAUUUCAAAGUCAUUGCAUGCCUAAGGCCUGCUUGAUAAUCUAAUUCCGUACUUAAAUUUAAUAAAUUCAAAUCUUAACACAUUCAAAUCGUUUGAUAACAAAAAAUUGAACAUCUAAAUUAAUUAAGUAACACUGAAUUUUCUAGGCAAAACUUGCUCCCAAAAUUAAGUGAUAAGUUAUUCACUUAUCACUGAAUAUGAUAUGUAUUCAAAUGUAUUAGAUUUAAUACUUAAUAAUUUAAUGAAUUCAAAUUUCAUAUUUCAUAUUUCAGUUUUAUCAAACACACCUUAAGUUGCAAAAUAAUACCAAAACUUGUUAUUACAUAGCUUGAGAUUCAAAAAUUUAGAGCAUAAUUCUCAACCAAACACAAUUGAAUAAUGAAUAUUCACGAGUGUCAAAUCUAUCAAAGUACAAUUUGAGGACAACCCAUUCAAACGCGUACACGAUUUUUAACUUUUCUAAAGUUGUUGAGAGCUGUUGAAAGAGAUUUACCAUGUUUACAUCUUCCAAGUCUUGGGAGUAAAAAAUGAAGCCACUGAGUGCUAUAAAAAGGGGGGUAGAGGCCACUUGAGAUCCUCGGUGACAUGUUUUCUAUGCCAAUCCAAUGCCACCAAUAGUGUUGCGCCAAGUGUCAUGUUAUUAUUUACACUUGUGUUAAACUAAGCCAAGUUGAAUUAUUAGAAAAUUAAAGUGUAAAUAAUAACAUGACACUUGGCGCAAUACUAUUGGUGACAUUGGGUUGGCAUAGAAAAUAUGUCACCGAGGAUCCCAAGUGGAUAGAUGCUGCCUAGAAGCAUAUCAGCCUAAAACAAGAAUUUGUAGUAACAAUGGGGAGCAAAGCAAAAGCAACGGGGUCUAGGCUGACUCCUCUUCUUACCACUGUUUUAGUGGUAUUUGUUGCCCUUGGCUUGCCCUUGGAAACUGCAGCUGAUUAUUACAAGUAUUCAUCUCCUCCUCCUCCUCCUUACCAGUAUUCCUCACCACCACCUCCAGUGUAUUCACCUCCACCAACCCCUGUUUAUAAGUUACCCCCACCAUCUCCUCUAGUUUACAAGUCCUCACCACCACCUUACCACUACUCACCACCUCCUGUGUAUUCACCUCCACCAUCACCAAUUUACAAGUCACUGCCACCACCCCCUCCAGUAUACAACUCCCCGCCUCCACCAGUGUACAAAUACAAGUCCCCACCACCACCUUCUCCAAUUUACAAAUCUCCACCGCCACCAGUUUACAAGUACAAGUCACCCCCACCACCUCCUCCGGUAUACAAGUCUCCUCCGCCACCUGUUUACGAGUACAAGUCUCCUCCACCACCUCCUCCAGUGUACAAGUCCCCACCACCUCCAGUUUACAAGUACAAGUCACCACCACCUCCUCCCCCGGUUUACCAAUCUCCUCCACCACCAGUUUACAAAUACAAGUCACCACCACCUCCUCCCCCAGUUUACCAGUCUCCAC
rnacentral:lncRNA from 1 species